AGGACUGCUGUGCUCUCAGGAGCACGGAGGCCUCCGUGCUCCUGAGCCGUUUUCGAUGAUGGAAUUUUCGAAUCGACAAUCGGCUCCGUUAGACUUGAUCUAACGUAUUUGAAGUUUCUAGAAAAUAAUUUUUGUGAUUUUUCGAUAUCAUUUACCUAGCAAUUGAAAGUAUUCAAAAUCAAUAAUUUUUAACGGCUGAAAAUAAAAAUCUUAUAAAAAGUGGUGAUAUAGUACUAAAAUUUUCGAUCAAAAAUAUUGAUCUUAUUGUAGAUAGUAUAAAGAAUUUUGUAUCAAAAUUUCAUCUGAUUUGAAUACUUCUACACCGUUAAACUUGAAAAUGGCAGAUAUUAACCAUUAAAAAUUAUUGAUUUUGAAUCCUUUCGAUCACUAUGUAAAUUAUAUCAAAAAAUCGUAAAAAUUAUUUUCAAAAAAUUUCAAAUAUGUUAGAUCAAGUCUAACGGAGCCGAUUGUUGAUUCAAAAAUUUCAUCAUCGAAAUGCUGACAAAGUUGGUGUUGUGCUUUAAACGCUGACAAAGUUGCCCCAAGUUAGAAAGGUUUAUAAUUUUUUUUUCCAUGCAUGUACCACUCGUUACUGCUUAUUUAGACAGUACUGCAAAUUUGGAUAGUACUUUAUAUAUGUUUUGACUUGCUGGCAUUAAGAUGCUCAUAGAAGACUCUGGAAACGUGUAAUAUCUAGAAAUUUGAAUUUGAAUAUAUAUAUAUAUAGAGAGAGAGAGAGAGAGUGCGGCUAGGAUGCUUAUGGAAGUACGGAGGGCUCCGUGCUUCCACUUUGUUUUCGAUGUUCGGACUUUCGAAUCGACGAUCGGCUCCGUUAGACUGAUACUAGAGUAUUUGAAUAUCUAGAAAAUAAAUUUUACGUUUUUCGAUUAUCACGUGGCUCAAAAUCAAGCAGCUUGAAAAUAAAAAUCUUACAAAAUAUGAUAAUAUGACAUUAAAUUUUAGAUCAAAGUUAUUGAUCUUGUUUAUAUGGUAUAAAAUUUUUUAUCAAAAUUUCAUGUGAUUGGAUAUUUCUACACGUUAAACUUGAACCGGCUCACACACGGCUAUUAAAAUUAUUAAUUUUGAGCCCCUUCGAUCACUAGGCCAAAUGAUAUCGAAAAUAUACAAAAUUUAUUUUCUAGGUACUUCAAAUACUCUAGAUCAACUCUAACGGAGCCGAUCGUCGAUUGAAAGUCCGAACAUCGAAAAACAACUUGGAACACGAAGGGCUCCGUGCUUCCAUAAGCCAUACCAGCACCUCUCUCUCUCUCUCUCUCUCUCUCUCUCUCUCUCUCUCUACCUACUAUAUAUAUAUAUAUAAUAUCUCUCUCUNNNNNNNNNNNNNNNNNNNNNNNNNNNNNNNNNNNNNNNNNNNNNNNNNNNNNNNNNNNNNNNNNNNNNNNNNNNNNNNNNNNNNNNNNNNNNNNNNNNNUUAACGGUAUAAAGGAAUCGGAAUAAGUUGAAUUUUUGAUAGAAAAUUUUAUUCACUACUUAGAUAAAGAUCAAUAACUCUGAUCUUAACUUGAAGGAUCCAAUCAUCCAUUUUUAGGACGUCGUUCGAUUUCGACUGUUCAUUUUAUGCCCGCUUGAUGGACUUUAUUAUAAUUUCAAAAAAUUAUGAAAUUUAUUUUUUAAAAGUUUCAAAUGCUCUAGAUCAUAUUUAACGGAGUGGAUCGUCGAUUCGAAAGCUCCAUCAUUGAAAAAAAAACUUAUGAAUACGAAGAACUCUAUACUCAAAAGGCUCCAUUUGGUUCGGGAAUUAAUAGGAAUCAGUUAUACCGGAGAUAAAUACAAGUAUGGAUUUUUGUAAGACUUAACAAGGAUAUUUUUUUUGUUUGGAUGAAAAUGUGAGUAUAAGCUGGAACUAGAAAAAUUGCGUUUGGAUGGUUAUUGGGAAUAAGAGCAAUAGUUGUUAGUUAUAAAUAGAAAAUAAUAAUAUUAUCCCUAUAAUUGAAUUUAAAUUUUUAAAUUUUAAACUUAUAUUUUAAAUUGAAAAUUGAAAAUGUUAACUUUAAAUUUUAAAAAUUGAAAUUAAAAUUUAAAAUUGUAAUUUUAAAUAUCAAAUUUGAAAUUUAAGACGCAAAUUUGAAAUUUAAAUAAACAAACAUAAUCAUAUUUAAAAAUUAAAAUUAAAUUUAAAAAUAUAAAUUUAUAAUUAUAAUUAUUAAAUUUAAAUUUAAUAAUUAUAAAUUAUAAAAAUUUAAAUUUAAACUUGAAGAAAUAAUUCUCUACUCUCUCUCUUCUCUCUUUCUCUCUCUAGUGGUGUGGAAUCACCCGCUUAGUCAGGUAUUCUACGAACCUCGCUAAGGUGGGAAUAACAGUUCUCAUUUGGGUUGACUCUUUGUUUGGGUAGCCAAGAUGCCCGCUUAAUACCCAUCUUGCAUCCUAUUCCAACCAGGGUGUAAGAGUAUAGUAACCCGUAUCUCAUCUCUCUCAUCUCGUCUUUUAUAUAUUAUAUUAGUAAUAUAUAUAAUUAUAUAUAUAUUACAUAUCUAAGAGAGAGAGAGAGAGAGAAGAGUUUGGGCUAGAAUAUUACUAUCGAUCAAACGGCUCCGUUGGCGCACCCAUUUGUUUUCGAUGAUGGAGCUUCUAAAUUGACAAUCGGCACCGUUGAACAUGAUCUAUACCAUUUGAAGUGUUUAGAAAUCAAAUUUUAUAUAUUUUCGAUAUUGUUCUCUUAUCCAUCGAGUGGACACAAAAAUGAACGGCUGAAAAUGAAUAUUCUUUAAAAAAUGAUGAUAGGAGUCUUGUAAUCAAGAUCAAGAGUAUAAAUCUUGUUCUAAAUAGUUUAAAAAAUUUUCUAAUCAAAAUUUAAUUGAUUUUGAUAUCUUUACACCGUUAAACGAGAAAAUGUCUUAUAAUUAAAAUUGCAAAAUUUGAACCUUUGAUCAUUAGGCCAAUGAUGUCAAAAAGAUUUAAAAUUUGAUUUCUAAAUACUUUAAGUGGUAUAGAUCAUGUUCAACGGUGCCGAUCGUCGAUUUGGAGGCUCUAUCAUCGAAAAUAAAUGAGUGGCAAUAGAGCUCGUUUGCUAUUGAUAGUAUUCUAGCUCAACACUCUCUCUCUCUCUCUCUCUCUCUCUCUCUCUCUAUAUAUAUAUAUAUAUAUAUAUAUAUAUAUUUCUACAGCUCUAUAUAUUUCUACAGCUCUAAUUUGUAAAAAGGCACUGUUUCAGGCCCUAGGGCAUGACAUUUGCUCUCUCCAAUAAAAUUAAGUAAUUAAAUACUCAUACUUUUCCAAUUAAAUCAAAUUCAGUUAAAAUCUUAUCUCAUAAGAUAUUAUGAAUAUUUAAUUAUUCUCUAAUUCAAUUAGAGAUAAGUAUGAAUCUCUCUAAUAUUUAAUUAUAUUUUAUCUAAUUUUAUUCUUAUCCAAUAAGAUUAUGUACUAAAUAUUAAAUCUCAUUUAAAUAUUUUAUGAUUAAAUAUUAUUCACUAAUCCGAUUAGUGGUAAAUUUAACUUUUGUGUAUAAUUCUCAAACUAAUUAUGAAAUCCUAAUCUAAUUAGAACUAUCAGUUAUAACUGAUUUGAAUAAUUAAAUCUAAUUUAAUUAAGCAGCUCCUCUUAUGUGAACGGCUCUCAUCCAAACAAUUUAGGUGCACACAAUUCCUGAUGUGUCUGACUGCAUAGGUUCAUUACCAUUCGGCAAUGGAGUUCAACAUCAAAACUUUUUGAUAUUUAAUUAAAACUCUUCUAAUCGAUAAAUAAGAACAAUUCAAUUCGAAUCAUUCAUAUUUUCUCACCGUUCGUGAGUGACACCUAGCAGUAUAUCACGACAAUCCAGAAUUGUGAUGAAGAAUAAACCUUUUCGCUUACAGUUAUCGCGUGAUUAAUUUUUUCCAACGUACAAUGUCCUAAUCGAACUAAGGUCAUGGUUACUUGCCAAACCUUAUCCUUCGACCAUAUGACUAGAAUAUCUGAAAGCAACUCAAUAUGGUUACAUAGUUGGAAACUCUUUUCACAUACCACAUAUCCUGGCGAGAGAUUUUUUGAGUCUAAUUUGAUAGACUGUAUUGGAUGUUCUCCCUUAUCAUUGAGAGUGUUGGAUUUCUUAUUGCGCAUUCAUAUGGCUUCCCGCAUAAAUUACUAUAGCCAAUCAGUACCGAACAUAAACCCAUAUCUAGACGAGUCUAAGUAUCAGUACUGUCAAACGGUAGCAACCUAUACGUGAAACAACUAUAAUACCUCUGGUCUGAGGAGUACUUCACACAAAUGUAGCAAUGAACUUGUCAUUGGCGAGCAUGGAACCAUGUGACUGUUCAACUAAAUAGUCAUGCUCAGUGUACUUGUUCUCUAUCAAGCACUUGUAUAUUUGUUCUAAUGUCCCUACACUAGUGACUUGAGAUUCGUCAACUCAAUUAGAAACAUAGUAUACACCGGCCUAUCCAGAAUAACAUCGUCCAGACUAUUUAAAGAAUCUCAUACAGAAAAGUACAUAUCUCAAAUUUCUAACUCUUAAGAAUAUGUCUUUUCAAACAAAGACCCUAUGAACAAUUUAUGUUAAUAUUAUACUAUUAUACAAUAGACAUGAAUAGGUUAUAUGCCCUCAUAUUAUGAAUUAUAAAUGAUUACUACAUAAAUACCCUAAAGCUAGUGUCACCAGAUUGGCUUUUAGGCAUAUAACUAACAACAUAUGCAUACGCCCUUGUUAGGGUGUAAACGAGCCGAAUAAGGAGCCGAGCAGAUCGGGCUUAGUGUUUCAGCAUCGUUUAAUAAGAAAGGCCGAACACGAGCUGGCUCGUUAAAGUGUCGAGCCGAAAUUCAGCUCGUGUUUGGUCGUAAUAAGUAGCCAACACGAGCUAGCUCACGAGCUGGCCAACGAACAUAAGUUAAAAAGAUUAGAUUAAAUAUAUAUAAAAAAUAAAUUAUAAAUAUUAUCCUUUAGACUUUAUCUGAUAGUUGGCACGUUUUACAUUAGAUGAAGUACUUUUUUAGUUGAAGCUCUGCCUUUAUUUUUUAUUUUGUAAAAAUUAAAUAAUAAAAAUAUAUAUUAUAUAUAAUUAUUUAUUUAUAUAUAUAAAUAUAAAUUAAAUAAAUUAUAUAAAUAUAAAAUAUAUAUAUUCGAGCUGUUAUCGAGCUGAAGACGAGCGAGCUGACUCCAGCUUGUGUUCGGCUCGUUUAUUAAACAAGCCGAAAAAUUUAGCUCAUGUUCGGCUCGUUUACUAAACGAGUGAUUCGAUCUCGAGCUCAUUUCGAGCCAAACACAAGCUGACUCAUGAACGGCGAGCUGGAUUGCCACCCCUACUGCUUGUCAUGCAGCUCUACUCGGUUAUGAAUGAGUAACGAGAAUUUGAUUCAAGUACUUUCAUAAUGGCACAUAAUUGUCAUUGUUAUACUGCAAUAUGUCCGUUGAAGAGUUAUGAACUGAAAAGAAUUAACAAAUUAAAAUUAAUGGCAUAACAACGACACAAUUUUCUACUCCCUUGUAGCAGUGGGUUCCUCGUUAAUAAGAAUGGUGGGAGCAGAAAGGAGCGGAUUGGCAACAGAAGGAUUUACCAAUAAGACAUUUUUUAAAGAAGCCCAUUAAGUCUCCUUAUCCUAAAAAUAAUAAUAAAGCUUCAAACAAUAAGAUUCAGGUUUACUGCGGUACUCUGCGGUCGACCGCCUUUCACGAAUGAUUGACCAAUUGCUAACUCGAGGGUUGUCUAUCCUUGAUUAUCUUAUCCAGUGAACUGUCAAGAAGCUUAUAUCGAUUGUAUGAUAUCACGAGGCUUAAAACCUCAGGUCGGACAUUGCUGAACUGCAUCCAGAAGUAGGGCGUUAUCUUCUCUGAGUGUCCCCAACCACUAAAGGGUAAAGCUAUUCAGAAUAGGACAAUGUGUGAAUGAGGGAAAGAAGGAAAAGAAGAAGCAUCUCAAGCACGAUUUUUUUAUCUUCAGUUUCUCGUCGAUUUGUUUUUCGGCUCGUCGCCAACUUUGCCUUUACUUAAGUGCUCUAUUGCAUAACUCUUCCCUUGAUGACACCGAGCGUUGUAGAUAAGUAUUAGGUGGCUAGGUUGAGGAGUAAGGGAUAGGUAGUGAGACAAGGAAAAGGGUAGAAAAAGGAGAAGGAAGGGAAAAAGAAGAAGGAAGGAGAAUAAGAGAAGAAUAAGAGAAAAUGGGAGAAUUGGCCUCCACUCUAGAAUACGAGGGCAGAGCUUAAAAGAGGGAGUAGAUGAGGGGCAAAGAAGAAGAGAAGAAGAAUAAUGAAAGAAGAAAGAAAGGAGACAAAGAAAGAUGAGGGGCUGGAUUAGAUUGACUUACAGUCGAAGCAUGCAAGCACUGUGUGUUUGUACACUUUAAGUGUGAUAGGUGUACACUAUCUUUCAGCUUGAGCUUAUGGAAUUAUUGGUUGGCGCUUUCGAUUCACAGAGAGGUUCAAGGGUGAUAAUAGAUAUAGGGGGGUGAGCAUAAAUAUAAAACUGUUCAAAAUAUCCGAUAUUCCAUACCCAAUCCGGACCCUACCCAGGCCUAUAAAAUAUAGAAAGUUGGGUUAAAAAAAAAAAAUACCCGUUAACGUUUCAGGUACGGAUUCGGAUACUUCAUAUCCAUACUUGACUUGGACCCAAUCUGUACCCGACCGAACCCGACCUUUUAAUAGGUAGGAUUCGAAAUAUUUUUUAAAUCAGGACCCGGACCUACUUGAAUAUCUGAUAGUAAAUAAAAAAGAUUUUAAGUUGAGGGACCGAUUUCAAUAGGACUUAUAGAUGAGGAAUCUUUGGGCGUGUUUGGUUCGCUUAUUUUUCACCCUGGAAUCGGAAUGGGAAUGGACGAAUCCGUUUGUGGGUGUUUGGUAUGCGGGGGUCCCAUUCCGAUUCCAAUUCCCGAGUGGAAUGGGAAUCCCCAAAUCACCCCUUUUUUCAAUCCGGCCUCCUAGGCCGGAUUGGAAGUUAAAUCCGGACGGAAUGAAUAUUUAUUCGAAUUAAAUUUAUUUUUUCAACUUUUUUAAUUAAAAUAUGAGUUAAAAUUUAAAAAAUAAAUAUAUAAUUUUAAAUUUUAAUUUGAACUUAAAUUAAAAAUUAAAAUUUAAUCAAGUAUUUUGAAUCUAACUUAUGAAUUUGAAUUUAAAUUAAAUUUUAAUUUAUAUAAAGUUUAUUCAAAUUUUAUUUCAAACUUAAAUUAAAUUUAUGAUUCAUAAUAAUAAUUUAAAUUGUAUUAUUUAAGUUGAAUUUGAAUAAAUCAAAAUUUAAUUUCAUACUUUGAAUAUCCCCACUCAACUUCAAAGUUUUAAUUUUUUUAAAAAAAUAGAUUAAAAUUUUGACAUUAUUUUCAAAAUUUUGAUGUAAAAUUAAUAUUUAAUUUGAAUUUAAAUUAAUAUAUUAUAAAGAUAAUGUUAGUAUAUUAAUUUGAUUAUGUUUUUUAUAUCCACCUGAACCAAACACCGACAAUGGAAAUGAUUUAUUACGAUUUCGAUUCAGGUGAUGAACCAAACCGAAUUAGGUAAUGAGUCAUUCCGAUUACGAUUCCAGCUUAUUUUGAUUCCGAUUCCGAUUCCGACUCCGACUUCGAACUAAACACACCCUUUAUAUAUUUUCAUUCUAGUGAAACCCUGACUGCUCUGUUUACUCCUUCAUUAUUAUUAUUAUUAUUAUUAUUAUUAUUAUUACUUUGUUUUACUUUUUAUUUUUUUAACCUUAGCUGCUCUGUUUACUACUUGAAUCUUCCUCUCUAAACAAGGAUCUUUAUUUAUUGUUGAAGUUAAAGAAAGGAGUAAAAAAAAUUAAAAAAAUAAAAAAUCAAACUCUAGCUGCUCUAUUUCCUUCUACGAUUUCUCUGACCAUCUUCGAUCCUACCUUCUCCUCACCUAAGCAGCUUGUCUCCGACGUCUCAUCUUACUAAUUGAUCUCUUUCUAAUCUGACAAGUAGCCUGCCACCCCACCUCGUCAAGCAGCUCGUCUUCUCUUUUGUCGAUCAAGAAGCCAAAAGAUUUUUAAGCUGCACGCCUGUGCCUCUACAUAAUUCCAAUCAUGGGGACUGCAUAGUCACAUCAGGCAAUUGCCAUUAAAAAUCAUAAGAUUUAUCUUAGUAAAUCUCAAUAAAGGACUAAUAUAUGCAAAUAAGAACGCGCAUACGAUUUAGACCUGACCCGUAACCGAUCCGUACCCGGUCUUUAAGUAGGUAGGAUACGAGUAGUCACUUCCAGACCCGCUCAAAUAAACCUGAUGAGUAUAUUAGUAACUCAAGUACUCAGACCUGGACCCGAUCCGAAGAUAAAUAUAUAGGGUAUAUACUUUUUUUCCUACUAAUUUCUUUUUAAGAGGAGGGGUAUAAUAUAUCAACUAUAUAUCCAGACUCGAUGCGAUCCACAAAGGCAAGAGGGGAGAGAGGACGGUGCGCACGUAUCGCCGCCCCGUCGAUUGAACAAGGCGGUGACAUAUACUACAAAAAUUUAACAAUUUAGAAAACUUUCAAUUUCUAUUAACUAUGCUUAAAAGUGUUUCGAUAUAGUGUAGUGUCACAUUUGAAAGCAUUGGUUAAAGUAUCGGCAAAUGAAGAGUCACGACACAUAUACCAAGCGUCGGUAAAAUAUAUUCUGACACUUUAAAGUGUCAGGAUAUUUUAAAAUUCUGACGCUUUAAAGUAUCGAAAAAUUAAAAAGAAUAGUUAAGUUUAUGAUUUAAUAUAUUGGUUUGAUACAUAUAGGAUUCAUAUGUUGAUGCUUUCUGAAACAUCAGUAUUUGCUAUAUUGUAGGGACGCUUGCUGCAAGCAUCAUCUUAAAAACGUGCUUAUAUUGAGAUUUUCUUGUAGUGCAUGACGAGUGGGAGAGGACAAAAAAUGACUAGACAAAUCGAGCAGUAAAUUAUGAGCCACAAGUAGCUUUACUCUUUUAAACCCUAAAAAAAAUUUAGUUAAAAGUGAUGAGAAAAAUAAUGCAUAAAAGACCACAAUUUGGUAGGCUGGAGUUAUCUUUUUUAUUUUUCCUUUUAAUAAGUGUGGUAUACGAUUUAAUAAUAAAGCUAGAAAAAAAAAUGUCCAACGCUGCCAGAACUUAAGCACUUUUGUAAACAAGCGCUUGGACUUUAAAUUUCAACAAAUAGACUCCUUCAAAUUUAUCAAGUAGUUCAAUAGGUCCAUCUUCUCAAUCGAAAUUAUUAAUUGCUAAGCCAUUUUGGUUACUUGUAUUAAUUGCAUAUAAUCUUAGAGGGAGCAUUGAAUUCUCAAGGACCAAAUUUAUUUUUUUAUUCUAACAUAUUUGAAAAUAGUAAUAAAUAUUAAAUAUGGAUUCGCUUUAUUCUUCAAUUAUAACGCUUUUAUCGUUAUUAUAAUAAAAAGAUAGAUUUUUUUUUGUCAUGCUAAAUUUAUUUGAGGAGUGCAAGACAAUAUGAGCAAAAUGGCUGUUCAAGCAGUAACUUUAUUUGAGGAGAGGGAUUCAUUAAAUUAUUUAAUAAAGUUAAGAGGGUUAAUAUAUAGUUGUCAACAAGUUUAAACCUAAAGAACCUGUAGGCAAAAAUGGCAAAGUUUUGAGGGGUCUUUCUACCAUUUUCCAUGAUGGUCCACAAACUAACUUGAUGGACCAAGUCCACGGAAUAAUUUUGGCUUUCCUUUCGGAGGCAAACGAAGCACGCGAGCACGCCUGGUGGGUCCCCCGUUGACACCACCGUCAGCGGUCGUGAUCAUGACGUCAUCAAAUCUCUUCCAUCGCUCACACGGUCUCACCAGGCUGGCAAAUGAGAGAGCCCUCUCACGUUGGGCGAGCGUUCGAAAUUAAAAUUUAUUUCAAGUCAAAUUUGAGUGUUACUGGGCUCACUCAAAUAGGACUCAAAGACACAGUAUUUGGAACAAAGGAGAAUAAGUUUUUGUUUUCUCUUUUGUUCUCGAACAUUACGUUUGGUAUCCGAAAAUAGUAGUUUUCAGAUUUUUGAAAUAAACUGGUAUAAGCCUGAGGCUACUGUUCCACCCUUUUUUUCUGUAAUAAGCUUGUUCCCAGAUAAGAACAAAAUUUAUUAAAGUCUAAAUUUAAUUUUAAUUAUGGUAUUAAAUUAUUAAUAAUCUAAUUAAUAUAUUUAAAUCAUUAUUUAUUACUUAAAUAAUAAAAUAAUUAAUUAAUUUAUUAUUUAUAAUUAAUUAUUAAUAAUUUAAUGUAUUUAUCCAUAAAUUAAAAUUUAUAUUGAUCAACCAUUAAUAUUUCUAUUAAUCUAAUUAAUUUUUUUACUAGUUAUCUAGCUAAAAUAAUUUACGUUAAAUUAUUUAUAUUUAAUUAAUUAAUUAAUAUAUUUUUAUUAUCUUAUACAAUAUUCAUAUCUAAUAAAUUUAUUAAUUUAUUAAAUUAUUUUUAAAUAAUAUUUUGAUGUUAAUUAAUUAGAUAAAAUAAUUUUAAUUUAAAAUUAUAACUCUUAUUUCCUUUGUUCCAAUCUAAUCAUCUAAACACUAUUUAGCUUAUUUCUAGGAAUAACUCAAUUUUCAUCCAAACACAAAAUUAGUCUAGUUUUUACUUAUAUCUGAACUUAUACAUAUUCCUAAGAUAAACAGUUUUUACUUAUAUCCGAACCAAAUGCAGCCAAAGAGCUCGAAUAUAAUAAUAUAUAUUAUGUAUUUCAAUUAUAUUUAUAGAGUUUUGGUUACUGGGUGUAUUUGCUUGCCCACAAAACCAAACCAACAAAACCCUAAUUUAAUUCUCUCUCUCUCCCUCUCUUUCACUUGCUCACAUAAUUGCUUCCCUUAAAUUAUUUUUCUUAAUAUUAUAAUAUCGCAUUCAUGCAUUUAUUUUGUAUGUUGAACUAUUAGAUAUAUUUUUAUAUUAAAUUUAAAUAAUAUUUUUUAAAAAUCAAGCUAUAAAUUGCAUGAUGUUAAAAAUUUCAAACCGCUCAUCUAAGGCUCAAGUUCGAUUGACUCGAAAUUAGACUCGCUCUAGCUCAACUCAAAUUAAUUUCAAGCCGAGUUUGAGCCAAAAUUUAGGUUCAAAAUUAAUUCAAGCCAAUCUUUAGCUGAACUAAGUUCGCUCAAGCUUGGCUCGUUAAUUUCCAACACUAUGCCUGGCUCCGCAUGAAAUUGACAUAGCAAUAUAUUUUUUGGACGCUCCUCCACUGAGGAACUGUAUACUUAUAUGUAAUUACAAUUUUACUGUAGUUAUAAUUAUAUAUAAAUCUUAAUUUAAUAUUUAAGUAAAUAUAUUUAAAAUUAACUGCUAUAGUCAAAAUUGUAUUAAUAUAUUCAAUUACAAUAUAGAGUUGAGACUAUAUUCAAGUUGACCGUAAUUUCAACUGCAGUAGUUGAAAAAGAUAAUUAUAAAAAAUAGCUAAUCUUACCAUACAAAUAACUUUUUAAAUAUAAAAUAUUAUUCUUUUAAUCUUACAAUUACAUAUAUAAAGUGAUAAAAUUUUGGUGGUAAUCUCAUUAUUAUACAUAUAAUAAAGUAAAAAAAUUUUGAAAUAUACUUCUCCACAGUAUCCAACCAAAUAAAUCGAAAAAAAAAUUUAAUCGAAAAAAAACAGUAUCCAACCAAAUAAAUUAUUUGUAAUUGCAACACUUUUUACUACAAUCAACCAAACAAAAUGCAUAUUAUUAUAACUGUUAUAUUUUCAACUAUAUAUAUAAAUCUCCAACUACAUUAUAUUUUUAAUUUCAUUCAACCAAACUGCCCCUAAAGGUCAGAAUCCUUACACUUCACUUAUAUAUAGGCCACCACUUUCCCACUGGUCUUAUUAAUUUUUUGAGUAAAUUUUAACUUAUCUCAUUAUGGUUUAGUGUAGUUUUACUUUGCCAAUAUAUAGUUCAAAAGUUUUUUUUUUUUUUUUAAGAGAACGGUAGUAUGCUACCCACUUUGUUUAUUCUUUCUAGAAAUAAACUUAGCUGGAAAUGUGAAUCAACUAGAAUUAGUUUGAUCUUGGAACCUCGGGUACCAAUCAUCAAACCCUUUGCCACUUACACUAGGAAUGGUCAGUUAUAUAAUUUAAAAGUUAUACUUGACUAUUCUUAAUGUGUUCGGAAGCACCAAGGGUCAAAAUUUUAGAUUCAAGUCGAUGAAAGGGUCAAAAAGUUGAAGCACCAAUGGCUCGUGUUCGGCCGCAGCUUGUGACGAGAUUGCAAUGCCCAACUCGAGAUCGGCUCGUAAUAUUAUAUUCGGGCUACCUUAUAUUUGGUUUAUUAAAGAAUCGCGCCGACCACAAGCUAUAGCUAGUUCUGGUUCACUCGUGUUCAACUUAUUGGCAGCUCUACCUACACGGUAAGAAACUUUACCAUGAUCCGUUUGCAUUGUACAACUAUGUUUUCUACUUCGUUGACUUUUCACCUCAUGUUUUUCGUUGACUUUUCACCUUAUUUACUUGGCUGCUAAGUAUGCCAAUAGUUAUUAGCUAGAUUGAUUCAGUUAAAGCCUACGAAUCUUAAAUUCAGCUACCAACCUAAUUAAUUCUUCAUAAUAAAGAAUUCAUAGCUGUCUUAUAUAGAGAAAGUAAGUACUCCUAGCGUACCACAUCAUUGGCAUGCAAAUGUAGAGUUCAAUGUUGAAGACUACUAUAAUUAGUCUCAUAACUGUGCAGAAUAGUGCUUGUCGACAAAUAUUUUACAGAUGAAAAUUUUUGACUUUUUUCAUUUAGGACAUGGAAAGGGGCUUCUGAACUCAAAAAACUACUAGAAAAAAAUAUGUUUAAGAAGUUUGAUAAAAACGACAUGUUAGUAUUGUUGGUAUAUAAGUUAUCCAGUACUGUCCUACAUAUGUAAUGGAGUCUGCGUUGCGCCAAGCCAUAAUCGAGAUCUAUGGACAUCUGUGUCUGUAUAUUUUAAAUGAAUUACUUAUAUCUCAAGCUUUUGGAAUAUUAGUUAAUGCCAACAACCCACCACUAGCACUCAGGAAAAGUAUUCUGAUCAUAUAUCUAAGGGCCGUAAUCUUCAAUGGUAAAAUUUAAAGGAAAAAAAAGAGGUUCUCUUCUAGUUACUUAAAUAUAUACCAUUUAAUAAAUGCACCUGUGCAAUAAGAUCACUAAGUUGUGCAUAAAGUAAUUAAGCUUAAUAAUUCAACAAUGCAAAUGAAACAUGAGGAUCGAUAUCCACAUUUAGACAUACUUUGGGUGGCACAGCGGCCCAGCUAGUUGAGUGGUUAUUCCAAAUCAGCCCUUUGUUUUGUUAAAAUCACUAGUUGAGAAGCUGUUGAACUACUUAAGGUUUGUUCAUAAUUAUUUGGAGGCAAACAUAUAUAUAAGAGAGAAAAAGAAAAUACGCUUGAAUAAAGUAUGAUGAAUUAGGUUUCUUGACGAGAAAAAAGUACUCUAGGGGCCUAAGAAAAUAAUAUUGAAAUAUCAAAAAGCAUUACUAGUGGUUACAGAAUCUGGAAAGCAAUGAAGCAAGCCUUUUCUCUUUUUAUUAUCUUAAGAUGCUAAGAGAAAAGUUUCUAGGGUGUAUCUUAUUGAAAUAAAAGGAUAAGCAUGCAUGUACUAGCAUUCCUAUAAACUUAGGAUAAGUGUAUGUCUGUAUUCCCACACAGCUAUGAAUUUGAUUGUCAAAGAUUGAGAACUACUUAACAGCUUUUUGUUAAAAUGACCUUCUUCAGUUGCAGCUAUUAAAAAAAAGAAUUCCAUACCGAUAACAUAAACCACAAAUGAUCAGUCAUUAGUUAUAUAUUUGCCACUUACAUACAAAUCACAUCAACAUCAUAGUGUGCUAUUUCUUGGUCUCAAAAAAUUUGAAUUAAAGCUCUAUAGCUGUUAAGCAAUUAAUAAAAUAAAUCUUCUCAUUCUUAGAGAGAAUUAUAACCAGCAACUUUCGAUAUACCUAGCUCUUAAGUAAAAUGAUCCUUGAAAAUUGUAAAAGGAAGACUGGGCUUUGGUUAUCAACCGCAUAGAAGCGAAAAUCAACGGAUGGAAAGCCAAACUCCUCUCACAAGGGGGAAGACUGACCCUUGUCAACUCGGUCCUGACCAGUCUGCCACUUUUCUACCUCUCCAUCUUCAAAGCGCGCUAAUGGGUUCUGCAUCGUAUUGAAGCCCUGAGAAGAGCCUUCUUCUGGAAAGGAUGCUCCAAAGUUUUUGGAGGAGCGUGCCUAGUCAGCUAGAAAACCGUAUGCAAAAGCAAGGAAGAAGGCGGGUUGGGAAUCAAAAACAUGGAGUCCAUGAAUCUGGCUCUCUUAACCAAAUGGUGGUGGCGAUUUUUUAAUGAGCCACACCUACUUUGGUACAAGCUGAUAAGAUCUCUCUAUCACACCAGACGCUGGCCGUUGCAUGAGGGCACAACCUUCAUACCGUACUCUCAGUGGUGGAAAGCGUGCUCCGGUGCCCAGAAAUAUGAACUUGGAGACGGUAACAACAUCAGGAUAUGGCCAGACAUCUGGAUCGGAGAAACCCCCCUGCGCACCAUGUUCCCAGACAUUUAUGCCAAUAUAAGGAAUAAGGAGGUCAGAGUCUCACAAUGUUGGAACUCUAACGGAUGGAGAUGGUGCUUCAUCUAUAGAGGGUUUGUGGCGUAUCAAUCCAUCAACAACGUUAGACAAUAUGCACUAUUCAAAGACCUACUCCUUCAUUAUAGCCCCAGGACCAGCCUGGACCUACUCAAAUGGCGGUGGACCCCCAACCAUCUGUUCGCGGUCAAAUCCCUCUACAGGUUCAUCGACAACGUAGGACUAAGGGACACGGAGAACCAACAUAUUUGGAAUUUAAAAAUCCCGGUUAAAAUCAAAGUCUUCAUCUGGGUGUUAAUCCGUAAGAAACUACUCACUGCUGACAGACUGCUCACCCGUGGGAUGCCGGUCGAUGAUCACUGUGUAUUCUGUGUGUUUGCUACGGAGAGCUGCGACCAUCUAUUCAACAACUGUGUCUUCGCUCGCUUCCUACUCAUCUGGGCGAAUGUACCCGUUGGGGAUUCGAGCGGUGUUCGGGCCCUCUGGAAUAAUAUAUCUGCUAUCACCGACUCAGCGAAAAGAUCGGAAGCUCAAACCUCUCUGGCGGCAAUUUGGUGGGUUGUGUGGACGGAAAGAAACAACUUUAUUUUCCGCUCGAAAAUCCCCAACGCCAUCCGAGCUCUUGAGUGCACCAAACUCCUGACAAAAUCCUAGAUCGAACUACCCUAUCCGCACCGGCAACUCCUCCACCUUCUAUUAAUUUUCUCGCUAUAUUACCAUGUCCUUUAUUUCACUCCCUUCCCUCAACUCCCUUCUAUUAUGUUUUUUCUGUUUGGCUCACUUCGGAGGCCCUAGCUGCUUCCACACUGUACGCUUAGUUUAUUUAGCUUAAUGAAUAUUGAAGCAGGUAGCUUGGCUACCUCUUUCUCAAAAACAAAAAAAAAGAGAGAAAGAGAAAGAAAAUUGUAAAUAUACUACAUCUAUAUAUCAUAAAUGCUAGUUCCGAUCGAAGUACAUGCUUCAUCUAUGUCCCAGCUUUUCUCGCGAUCAAGAUAAUUAUGACAAGCUUGCUGUUCACGGUAACUUUUUUUUAAUUGUAAUAUAUAUAUAUAUAUAUAUAUUUGUUGUAAUCCCGUCGUACUAUAUUUGCUUGAUAUACUUUAAUUAUUUGAAAGAUGAAAUGAAUCAGAUUAUUGCCCAUGAAUCUAUUUGUAGUAAUAGUUUUUUGAUCUGUUAAUUUGAAAUUUACUUGUCAACGGCUUCAAAAACCAAAUGCUUUUUUCAGUUUCAAUUUUCUCCUCUCAACCUUCCUACUGAAACUGUAAAAAAAAAAAAUGGUACAACUUUUUCUCAGUGGACAUAUAGUUCUUAAGACUAGUUAAUUCAUUCUCAAAAACUGUAUUCAUUGGAUUGUGACAUUCUAAAUAAGACACCUCUUUAAAUUCUUUGUUGUAUAAAUUUUGAUAAAGUUAAAUUUCUUUAUUUUUUAAUUUUUUACUGCAUUUAUACCAUCAAAAUAUAUUAGUAUUUAAUUACAGUAAACACUUUAUCUGUAGAAUAGAAUAACACCAAUAUUUUAAAAAAAAAAUGUCCAAUUUUGCUUGUACGACUCUUUCGUCGGCUGGCUAGUGGCUUUUCACACAAAAAAAGGCAGCAUUUUGAUUUUAAAAAAACAAGCCAUCGAGUGUUAUGAUCAUAGUAUCUGGUUAUCCCAAAUUAUACCCGCUUUUUUAAUAUUUUAAUGCACAUUAGCCUUUAGACCAUAUAAUCAAAUUAAUGAGAGGGUUUAACCAUGCACCUAUUGUUGAAUUAAGGAUUUAGAUAAUUAGAUAUGGUCAAAUUUUAAAAAACCUUCAAAAAUGAUGGCCAAAUGAAAAUUCAAGGGUACAACAAUUUUCCUAGAAAUUAACUCAUAUUUUUAGUGAAUGUGUAUAACUUCCAAAUCGAACUGUACAAAUUAACAGAGUUGGUGGCUGCUUAAUUUAUGUAAUCCUAAAUAUGGAGAACUCUCAACUGCUUAUGUCAACCGAUCGAUCAACUUGUUGGUAACUGUAGUUUUGCAGCAGUUUGUAAAUCCAAAUCUAAAUUUAACUUGUUAAUUAGCUAGCCCAAUCUAAUAAUUAACUUAAUUUUUUCUUUAUUCUCUAGCAGUCACCCUUCUUAAAACAUACCUUAUAUUAACGGAUUAUGGCCAUUAAAACAAAUUACACUAUUUGUUUUCAUCACUUUAAAAGUAGUCAAAACAGAUUAUGCUUUUUUUUUUUUUUUUUUUUUUUUUUUUAAAGAAUAACUAUAUGUCACGCCCCGGCCUUUUUGGAAAGUUAAUUUUUGAGAAAUUUAUCCAGUUUGAAAUCAGAGUUGUAAAAAAGCGUAUAAAAUUUUUUUUUUUAUAAAAAACUUGCCCGAGAGGUGCACAGAACCCCCCUACGUGCAGGGCAUUCUCUGUUCAUACGGACAAAGUUUUUCCUAUACAUGUACGGCAUAGAAGCAUAGAUACAGAACCACAAUCAAUCAAAACAAGAUAAUUUAAUUAUACAACUACGUACUAAUCAAUCUAAUACCAAAAUUCAAAAACGACUAAACCACUACAUAGGAAAACCCAAAAGCAACUAAACUCCAAACACAAAUGAUAUCACAUAACUACAACCAGAUCAUAAGGUACUGAAGUAAGGAAAAUCUAAAACUAUAAAUUAAGAUUCAUGGCACGAGCUCUCUAGGCGCUAACUAACCGUGUCCUUCCACCACACCCCGAUCCGCGCAUCAACAACACCUGUAAAAACAAUGAGGUGAGAAACAUAUAAAUAUAUUUUCCGGUGGGGGCAACCAGCCAACGAGGGCAAGCUGCACUCAUUGGCAAACAAAGGAGUACGGUAAACAAGUAAGAGCGAAAAUGUAAUAGUCAACUACAAUAGCAUCACAGAUAGAUAGAUAACUGUCAUGAUCUAGAAUACAAAAUAAUGCCGCUACCGUACUAGGAAUAGAAAUACUAACCACAAAGUGUCGACCAUAGUAGCAAAGAAAACCAGCGAAUAGUCAUCAUGAACAAUCAUAUAAGAGAUACCGCUACUGUAAACUAGUCAUAUGCUAACAUAAAGGAGCACCAACUACAAUAGCAAGAUGAAAAAUACAAAACAUCAUAACCCACUCACAAUGGAUGCCGCUAUUGUAGGCUAAACAACUACUAGAUACCAUGCAUGACUCAAAUCGAAAUACUAUGCAUCACCUGGACGUGUGAGAAGUCCAAGAUAUACGCAAUCGCUGUGGCCGCUCAUAAAGACCCAGCCUAAGCUCGCCACUAGUCUCAAGGACCAUAAAUCAAGUACCACUCCGGAGGGACACAUCAACCCGCAUCCAAAGUCGCUAAUUUUGUCUAAGCGCGAUGUAUAUCAAGUCUAGGGGGUGAGAACUCAAGGUGGCGAACCCUGUCUAUGAAACAUCACCUCUAAAUGGGCUGGCAACUGAAGUACCCUGGGUUAGGAACCCUGUCUAAGACUCCUUCAGUGCCAUACAAGCUAUAGUCAUAUGUAUAUACUCAAAGCUCCAAUAACCUAGACUCAACAGUCAAAUCACUGCCCGUAGGCGACAGCAAGAGUCAAGAGGUAAUCACACUGGAUGCCAAUGGAAAUACCAAGAUCGAAACUCCCCGGGUCGACUAACAUGCUACACUAAAUGAGUAUGCAAGAAAGAUAAAGAUAAUGCAAGUGACAGAGGUGAACAUGCUAAAGAUCCAAUCAUGACAGAAUACGUCAUCUGACCCUUAAGUCAAAAUCUGAGGAAGUAUACACCGAUCGACUAGGUCAAUCUCAUGGAGUAACUCGCUGACAAUAAGGUCAAGUCUCACCGAAAAUAAGUCAACUGAUGAUCAUAUCUCAACAAGAAGUACACAUCGAUAUACCAGAUCCAAUCGUACACAGGUGGAUAUUCUAUCAAAUCAUUACCUACUCUACAUGUCACACACGAGAUAGAAGAGAGUGCAAUCAAGAGUCUACGAAUCCAUACGAUAAUCAACGUAACAAUCAACAGGCAUGUAGAGUAAAAAGCAUGUAUAGACGUGAAGUCAGGGAAAGUUGUCCUACUCAAACAACAUAUAGAAUAGAUCAAGCAGAAAGAAAAAUCGGGUAAAAUACAACUUUACCGACUUCGGAAUAGAGCACCCACCUCACCUAAUAUCCGAGUCCUCGACUCGAACGAUGGUUCCAGAAGUAACCUAUACCUAACAAAUACCAACAAGCCAUCAUUAAACAUCUAAUAUUACCAAACAUCGUUGUCCAAUGUUCUUUAUGCAGUGAAAGAAAACAUCAAAAAGCCCUAUGAUGUCCUACGAAAUCGGUUUCCUAUAAAAGCCGAUCUCCGUAACUCGCCGGAAGCCUGGAAAUCACACCGGGACCAACAAACUGUCCCAAAAAGCACCAAUUCGCCACGAGUCACCCAUUGGCUCAAAACACAUCAUUCAGGGUGUCCUGGCAGCAAACACCAUUUCUCAUGUCGAGACGAUUAUCGUCGAGUAAUCGCUCCGAUCCGGGUUCCCAAAUGCAUCCAAUUUGACAUCGGAACCUUCUACCGCUCACCCUUCAUCUCUAGACACACAAGAGGACCAUGGCGGCCAGUCAAUGACGCUAGGUGAUGAUUUUCGAGGCAACCACGCAGCCAAAAAUUCAUCUCAAUGCGAAAUCGUGUUCCACCGACGAUUUCGCCGAAAAAUGCACCGAAAAUCUAUUUUUGAUCCCAUGAAGGCUUCAAAACCUGGACAACAAGUCCAGAAGGUCACAAUCAGUGACCACACGCUGCCCGAGGCAACCCACAUUGCCUUAAUUACAAGAUGGCCCCUAAGAGACCGGAUAAUUGCAACAUUAAGUACAAUGAGGCAAUGUUCAGGGCCGUUAUCAAAAUCUGCGCACCUCCGGGAUGAAGCGAGGGCAUCAGCUGAUAGGUCUCGAUGUGCUAGACAUCAUACUCGCUAUCUGGAGCAUGCACAACAACUGAAGAGCGCUAUGGAGCUUUUCCAAGUUUGGCAACCAAAUGGCUCCGGGAGUCAUGGGCCAAAAAUCAACGAAGAAAGGUCAUCGGAGGUGGGCACAACGUUCAGCAGAUUGAGGGGAUCGCCGUGCUCACCUUCAAGUUAGUCGAGGAGCUUCGGAUCGCCAGAAGCUGCGAACGGGGCAAAACCCUGCCAUAUGCUGUUAAACAUGGGGCAUAGGGGCUCCGACCGACUGUCGAUGGCCUGCAGGCGGGUGCAACGGCUGGGGUUGGCCGCGAAGGGAGAGGGAAACCCUGUGCUCCCCUCGGCCGGCGGCAAGAAGCGACUGUGGUAGCGACAACGACGACGCUUGGGGAGUUGCCUACUCACAUAAAUAUUUCUCGGGUUCAGGUAGCUAGCCGAGCAAAGAGGAGACCAGGGGCAACGACGACCGACCGAUAGGGGGUCUUUGGAUCGUACUGAGGCCAGCGGCGGCGGCGGGGAGCAAUGGUGUGCCGGAUCCGGAGCCACAACCCGAAACCUCCACAAUUGGGUCCAAGCCUUCGAAACCUCCACAAUUGGGUCCAAACCUUGGAUCUUGGUAAAUGGAGGCCUCGGCGGUGCCCGGGCCAUUGGAGGGUGGUCGCUGGACCUCCCAGAGAUCGGCAGCGAGGCUCCGGGGCAGCGCGGCCAAGUGCUAAGAUGGCUCGGGCCCGAUUGCAGCUUAGAGAGAGAAAGAGAGAGAGAGAGAGAGAGGGGACCUCGCCGGCCGGAGCUUCGCCGACGCCAGUGAAGUACAGAGGGUGGCAGUGAUUGUGAGCAGGGAGAGGGAGAGGAGAUUAGGGUUAAUAUAAUAUAUGUAUAUAUUAUUAUGGGGCAAUUGCUUAUAUACCCCUAAAAAGUUUCCGACUUUCUGAUUUACCCCUCUUAGAAGGCUAAUAUUGAAAAUACCCUUUUUACAUUCCAACCUAUGUCAAAUAUACCCUUCCUCCGUUUGGUUCGGGGCUAAGGAAAAAGUAGCUAUUCCAGGGAUAGAGUUAAGUUCAGGGUUAAAGUGGGGUUAAAUUUUUUUUGUGUUUGGUUGGGGGUUGGAGUUAGUCUAGAAUAAUAAAAAAUAGUGUUUGGUUGGAGUAGGUGGGAUAAGAAGAUAAUAAUUGAUAAAGAGGAUAAUGAUUGGUUGGAGUAGGUGUGAUAAGAAAGAUAGUAGGUUAUUAUGAAUAGAAAAAAGUGUUUGGUUGGAGUUUGGUGGGGUUAGGUGGGGUUAGCUAACCCGGGAUAAUUUAUUUGAGGUGGGGUUAAGUGGGGUUAGCUAACCCCACCUAUUUUUUGGGGUUUUUGGGGAUAAAAUGGGGGUUAAGGGGUUAUUCCACCUCUUAACCCCCAACCAAACAAGGGCUUAGAGUUAAAUUUUGUUAAUAAACUCUGUUAUCUAUAUAAAAUUACUAUUUUGCUCUUUCAAAUAUACCCUUCCACCAUCACCGACUUUUCUUAUUUGCCCUUAAGUCAGGGGCAUAAAAAGUAUUUUAACUUUUGAUCUUUUCAAAUAUUCCCCUCUACUGUCACCAAUAUUUCUUAUUUGCCCUUAAGUUAAGGGCAAAAUUAGCAUUUUAAUUUUCUUUAACUGUGGUAGAUAUUUAGCUCACGUUUAACUCAAGUUAACUUAACAGGUGAUAACUGUAGGGGUAUUUUGGAAUAACAGAGGAACACAUGAGGGGUAUAUUGGAAAGAGAAAAAAAAGUAGGGGUAAUUGAGAUAUUUUCAAAGUUUUGAGGGGUAUAUAGACAAUUAUCCCUAUUAUUAUAUAUACAUACAUGUACAUAUAUAUAUAUAUAUGUGUAUAUAUAUAUAUAUGUGUAUAUAUAUAUAUAUGUGUAUAUAUAUAUAUGUGUAUAUAUAUAUAUGUGUAUAUAUAUAUAUAUAUAUAUAUGUAUANNNNNNNNNNNNNNNNNNNNNNNNNNNNNNNNNNNNNNNNNNNNNNNNNNNNNNNNNNNNNNNNNNNNNNNNNNNNNNNNNNNNNNNNNNNNNNNNNNNNNNNNNNNNNNNNNNNNNNNNNNNNNNNNNNNNNNNNNNNNNNNNNNNNNNNNNNNNNNNNNNNNNNNNNNNNNNNNNNNNNNNNNNNNNNNNNNNNNNNNNNNNNNNNNNNNNNNNNNNNNNNNNNNNNNNNNNNNNNNNNNNNNNNNNNNNNNNNNNNNNNNNNNNNNNNNNNNNNNNNNNNNNNNNNNNNNNNNNNNNNNNNNNNNNNNNNNNNNNNNNNNNNNNNNNNNNNNNNNNNNNNNNNNNNNNNNNNNNNNNNNNNNNNNNNNNNNNNNNNNNNNNNNNNNNNNNNNNNNNNNNNNNNNNNNNNNNNNNNNNNNNNNNNNNNNNNNNNNNNNNNNNNNNNNNNNNNNNNNAUGUAUAUACAUAUAUCUCUCCUAAUUGCACAAUUGCAAUAGGACUGACUCCUCUACAAACAUCUAUGGGUGAAUUUUGGGUUUUAAAUUGUGAAUAUGAGGGACUAAAUUGUAAUUUUUAUAAUUUGUGAAAAAGGGUACUGUGUGCGAUGGUGUUAUUAUUUCAUGUGAGAAAUUUUAGAAUUUUUAGGAGUGGAAGGACUCAUGUGAAACUAGACUCAGAGUAGAACAUGUGGGUUAAAUCUCAUGAAAUUCUGAGAAUUCUAUGAAUCACAACACCAAUUUGAGUUUAGAGAGAGGAAAUCGAUCAGGGGAUACCAAACAAGGCCAACUUUAAUUUAUCUUGUCUAAUAGUAUUAAAUGACCCUUAAUACCAAACAAGCCCAAAGUUACAAAAAGAGUAAAAUACUUGAUUGUUAUAUAUAUACUAAUUAACAUUUAGUAAACUGUAGGCUAAUAACUGUGAGCUUGGUUUGAAAGUGUACGAACUAAUUUAGUAUCUAACCAACAUUAAUUUAAGGAUUUAAUAUGUAAUUAAUUCCAGAAAAGAACAACAAACUUACCCCUUCACUUUCUUAAUUACUUUUUCUCACUCAUACUCUUAAAAGAACAAAAAGAAGGAUUGCACAAUCAGAAAGAUAAGCAAAGCCAAGGACCCAUGAAAGGAGCUGACCAAUCUACUUUGGGGUGUAUGAAAGUAAAGAUAGAAUACUCCAUCAUAUCCCUUUGUACUCAAGCAAUUAAGUUUUAAUGCAUAAAUUCAAAAAAAGUUUAAAAACCCAAAACCCAAUAAUUCGAUAAAAGAAAAGAAAAGAAAAGAAAAGAAAAAAUAUCCUUUAAUAAACCAGAAAAGUUAAAAUUACUCCAUCCACCUCUUCACUUUUCCUAAGGUCAGAUGCUCAGCAAGUCUAACCUGUUUUCUAUUAUACCAAACCGCCACACACCACCUCCCAAGGGUGGGUUUCAUAUAUAUUCGUCUUCUUCUUCUUUCCCAAUCCUUGCUCUUUUUCCAUCACACCAAAUUCCCCCACACAAGAGAACAACAAGCCAAGAGAAGAGAAGAUUCUAAACAGGAGAAGAGAGAAGUAGAUUUUUACUACCACAGGAGAGAGAGAGAGAGAGAGAGAGAGAGAGAGAGAGAGAGAGAGAGAGAGGAUUAUGGCUGAUGAUCUCCAUACAGCAGGGAUAUGCAGUGGAAGAGGGAGCUGGUGGAUGAACUCAGCGAGGAGCAGCGCCGGACUCGAUGGUCAGAUUGCGAUCUCCUCGACGUCGAUAGCCGACAUCGAUGCAAGAGGGUCGACCUUCAGUUGGUCGGCGGGCGAGAGCAAGUCGCGGUCCUGCGAAGAGUCCACUGGCUCGGCCUCUGCCGGAAGCUCAAUAACCUUCCAAGACACCCACUUAAAUCCCUCCAUGAACUGGAAUGAAACCCUACUGUAAGUGAUCUUCUUUCUUUGUAUAUAUGCGUUUAGAGAGAUAUAUACAUAUACAUAUAUAUAGAGAGAGAGAUAUAUAGGGUUUUUCUUUUUUUUUCCUUUGAGAAAAUUAUCUAUAUAUUUUGAUUGAUGGGUUCGGCAGAUUCCUACUUCACCUUUACUGAAAAUAACAGGUAAGGUGUAUGCGAAAUUUAACAAAAAGAUUUAAGUGUAAGAUUCAAUUUUGUAGAAUUGCACUUGCCAAAUCUACAUGAUAUGUUGCAUGCUUAACAUAUAUAUAUGAACUCUUAUUUCCGUGAAUUUUAUAUAUGAUGGAGAAGCAGCGGCGGAAAAGCUGAUACAAGAAUUCAAGCCAUGCACCAAGAUGAUCUAAGCAAAAGGCCCUAUUGGCAUGACGGACUGUUGAUAGACUCGUAUCGAGCUCACGUUGGUGUCGAAGAAUCCUCCACAAAUUUAUUCAAGGAGAUUAACCAUGGAAAAAAUUUCCUCCUGGACAAACAUCUGUUGAAUUCAAGUAACGAAGCUUCCGCUUCCUUUGGAAGCCCUUCUAGAUUGCUCCAAACCUUUAUCACUAGCGAGGCGAAUCCUCCACUUUCGAUUUAUGGAAACCCAUAUCUACAUCAUCAGAGUUCGACGGCUACGGCUUCUCAUGAGAGCUUAAGUGAGCUUUUGCAGCCCUCAUGGACAAAAUUCUCUCAGUUGGUUAAGCCUUCACCAUUAAAGAAUCAGUUGCAGUUCUCCAAUAGCACUCCCUUUUGGAACCCUUCUUCUACUGCUAUGAAUGAAGUGAGUUCAGGGUUUUACCCCUCCGUGCCUUCGCAGUUCAUCUCACAGCAGAAACCAAGUUACAGCAAUCUCAUAGUGAAGGAGAAAUCUUUGGUACCGUAUUCUUUCUUUUUUUUUUUCAUGAUUUUUAGGGUUUUACUUGUGUUCAACUCAAUUUAGUGAUGCAACUCAGCAACUCACAAUCAUGUAUGUAGUUAAAUUCGGAACAAGUUCAAGACUCAUGCUCAUCUGCAAAAAAGAAAAGCAGCAGUGGUGAUGAUCAUCAACCCACGUUUAAAAAGCCUCGAAUCGAGACCCCGUCGCCAUUACCGACCUUUAAAGUACGACACUAUCUGCUUGAGAUCUUUAUAAUCUAUAGCAGUUUGAUAUCUCACUUUCUUCUUUGCUUCUUUCUGUUUAAGCUUUCAUGAUAGCUUUUUUGAGCUCAUUGUUUGGAUAUGUAGGUGAGGAAAGAGAAAUUAGGGGACAGAAUCACUGCGCUCCAACAGCUGGUUUCUCCUUUUGGAAAGGUAUCUCAUAUAUCCUUUAAAUGAUCACUCUCACUCUCUCUCUCUCUCUCUCUCUCUCUCUCUCUCUCUCUCUAUAUAUAUAUAUAUAUAAGAGAUAAUUUGUUGGCUUAUGUUCUAGAUCCUUUUGUGUUUGCAAUUAAAUGUUUAUUAAGCUUCCAAUAUGUAUAGAACUGAAUCUUUCCUUCCAACUUUAUUAUUUCAGACUGAUACAGCAUCAGUUCUUCAUGAAGCCUUUGAGUAUAUUAAGUUCCUUCAUGAACAAGUGAGUGUAAGUAUCUCUACUAGUUUUAUAUAUAUAUAUAUAUAUAUAUAUAUAGAAAAAAUAGCCAAUAUCGAAUUGUAUUUAAUAAUAUCUGUUUCUUAACUGCAGGUUUUGAGCACACCAUAUAUGAAAAAUGAGGAUCUCACGCAGCACCAGCAGGUACAAAGCUCUUCAACCUGCACUCACUUAACUACUUACUAAUAUAAAUGUUAGUUUCAUACACAAUGAAGAACUUGGCUAUAAAAGUUAAUGUUUUAGGGUUUGGAGAGGUUGAACGAUGGCGAGGGACCGAAACAAGACCUUAGAAGCCGAGGUUUGUGUUUGGUUCCGAUUACGAGCACUUAUCCGGUCGCUACCGAGACUGUCGCAGAAUUCUGGCACCCUACCUUUGGAGGAAGCUUCAGGUAGUGGGGUAAGGGCUCUGAGGAAAAAGAUUGGAUUACAACUUUUUUAUUAUAAAGAAGCAAAAUUCAAUGGUUGUUGUUAAAGAAGUGGGAGAUCAAUCAAGAGUGACAGAAAAUGCAUAUAUUGUUUGUAAAAUUAUAGUUAUUUGCAGGGAGAAAAGCAAAACCCUAACAUAGGAAAGAUAAGGAAAUGAGGUGGCCCUUCAAAGACAGGAAUUGUUGGGACAGCUAUAUACAAGGAGAAUGUUGUGAGGUAGGUCAUGGUGUAUAGAGCUUUAGAAAGAAUGUUCAAUAUAUAAUUAAUGUUGUUGUAUUUUAUUGAUUAAGAGGUGGGUCAAAGAAUUAAUGGGAACAGUUGCUGAAUUUGGUAAAGCAAAUAGUAGGGAUUAGCUCUAAAUAUAUUUAUAAAUGUCAGAUAUAUAGAGGUCUAGACAUAGCAAUGAUAUGAUAUUUCAAACUAUGCUAGAAAAAUUUUACAACCAAAUUCAAUGAUCUUUUUGAAUUUUCGGACCUAAUUUAGAUGUAAACAAAGUGUAGUAGUAAAACUAAUACAAAUAUUUAAGUAUGGAAGAAAUAAUUAAAAAAAUAGGACAAAUUAUUAGAGAUUAGUUUUGGAGGUGGGGGCUAGAGUUAGCAGCUAAAUUUAGCAGGAGAGAAAUGAUCAUCUGUCUUUUGUUGGAUGUGUGUACUUUAGUUUAAUUAAGGGGCUUUUUUUGCAAAUAGCCCCCUUACAAAUUUUUUUUUUAAAAUUGGCCCUGUCAAAAAUUUAUUUGCAAAAAUGGCCCUGGCUCCGCCACGCAAGCGCCACGUCAGCGCCACGCGGGCGGGGCUGGGCCAGAUGGUUAAGUUGAACAUGGUGAACCAUUCACCGUGUUCAAUACAAAGUUUUUGUAUUGGACACGGUUAAUAAUUCACCGUGUCCAAUACAAAAUAGCAAGACCGAAAUAUUUGUAUUGGACACGGUGAACCAUUCACCGUGUCCAAUACAAAUAAUUGGACACGGUGAAUGGUUCACCGUGUCUAAUACAAAUACCUCCAACUUAGCCAUUGUUGGGGUAUUUGUAUUGGACACGGUGAACCAUUCACCGUGUCGAAUACAAAAAUCUUGUAUUGAACACGGUGAAUGGUUCACUGUGUUCAACUUAAACAUCUGGGCCCGCCCUGCCCGCGUGGCGCUGACGUGGCACUGACGUGGCAGGGGCAGGGCCAUUUUUACAAAUAAUUUUUGGACGAGACUAUUUUUACAAAUAAAAUUUGUCAGGGGGCUAUUUGCAAAAAAAAGCCUUUAAUUAAGGGCCGGCACCUUUUCUUUUUCUUUUUCUUCUCCCAAAAAAAAAAUAAUAAGGAAUAAUUGGACUUGGACAUUUUUGGUUUGGAGUAUCUUACUUUUUGAUUUAUUUAAUGUUUUCAUAUGAUGAUAGUGGAAGUCAGAGGUGACCAACUUUAAAGGCGCUCCCCCUUUCUCUCUCUUCAAGUAGCACAUUAAUUGGUUUCUUUUUAAGUUGUGUUUCAAAUAAACUUCAAACAAUUAAUUCCGAAGUAUAUUAAAGAGUUGAAUGAAAAAGAAGUGUCAAUCCCCAAAAUCAUGAUUGCAGGACAUCAAUUAACAUUUAUUUGUUCCCCACUUUUGUUUAUGUUUGUUGCAGAAAUUCCUAUAAUCUAGAUUUAGGUGUAGGGACCUCUGGAAUAAUUAGGAAAGAAAUUAUUGCAAUAAUUAGUUAAAUAGGGUAACAUUACAAUAGAAUUAGGUUAUAGGGACACAUGUAGGGAUGUAAAACGGGCCGGGCGGCCCACGUGCCGCCCGGCCCGGCACGGCCUCGGGCCGGGCCACAGCACGGCACGGGUACUGUAGCANCCGAUGUGGCCCGAAAAAUGUGGGCCGUGCCAGCCCGGCACGGCCCACAUUACACCCCUAGACACAUGUUUGGGACACUUUUAAGUAAGUGUCCCAUUUAUGCUAAAACUUAAAAAAAUAUCUACUAAUGCCUAAAUAUAAAGCCCAAUUCAACCAAAAUAAAAGAUUACUCUACUCAACCCACCACACCCAGUCCAUUUGGCCCGAUUACAAAUAGAAAAGAAAAAAAAAAAAGAAAAAUCAAUUACCAUCUUUUCUUCUCUCUUCACUCAAUCCACUGAAAUUCUAGACGAAGAGCCUUUCCUGUCGUCCUCCUCCGCCACCGCAGCCAACGAGAUAGAGUUUCGACGGUUGCUAAAUGCUUAAAUAAGUGUUGGUAAUUAGCAGCACUCUUUUAGAUUAUAGCGACACUCUUUAACUGUCACUAUAUACCUAGCGACCCCACAUAUAGCAACACUUUUUAAAAGUGUUAGUAAUUUUAGCUAGCAGCACUUUUUUGACAUGUACCUACAUUUAAAAGUGUCGCUAUAGAUCGUUUUUGUUGUAGUGUAAAUUGCAAUAGUCAACAAACUUUCGGCCAAUUUUCAUUUCCAUUUCCAAAAUUUUAAUUUCGACAUUUAAAUCUCUAAACAUUUAAUAAAGAUAUUUUAUUUUACUUUCUAAACUUACUAAUGUUUUAUUUUAAUCCUUAUCUUGAAGUAAAGGUGUUGCCUGCAUAUUGUUCAAACAUCAUACGUACUACUCGAUACUUUUUAUCUGUUUUUUUCAUCUGAUCUCAUUCUUUCGCUAGUUCAACAGUUCAAUUCCUAUAUUGGUAGAAAAAAAAAAAUUAUAACUCAACGAGUGAUGAAAUAAGCGAGAGACAAAGAUUUGAUAAUGCAUGAAACAUAGAUGCACAGAUUCAAGCACUCCUUGUAGGCAACAAUUUGUCCUCUAGUAAUAUAUAUGCAAAGGAUUAAGUAGGGAUGUCAAUGAAUAUGGAUGUCCAACAUUUUAUUCAAAUCAGAAACUCAUGACCGUGACAAUUUUAGUCGAAACUUAAUGAAAUGGUUUCGGCUAUAGGGAUAAAAAUCUAAAAUCCAACACUUAUGGUUUUGAUUAUGGUUUCGAAACUUAAUGAAACAUAACCAAAUCCGAAACCAAACCUAUAUAAUUAAAUGUAUAAUGGCUAACUAUGCCCAUAGCAUAGCAAAUAUAUAUCGAGCUAAAUACGCAUCACAUCAUACAUCAGGCUUCCACAACACUAGCUUAUGGGACUCGAUUCAUCAUUUCUUUCUCUUCAAAAGUUAUAGAGCAUUUGUUUAAGAUGUACGCUUUCAGCUUUAGCAAUAAGAGUGUUAAUGGGCUUGCAAUUUGUAUCUGAAAUUGUUCUGAAGUUCUUACUUAAUUAAGCAAAUCUCUUGAGACAAAUUAACCUAGAAGCUUCUUGAAACAAUCUCUCAGGAUCUUAACAAUGAGUACAUAAUUCACUUCAUCCGUAUCCUUUAUCUGAAAAUUUUGAGGACAGCCAUGCCUUUAUGGUAACAAUCAUCUGCUUGUCUUUUCCGGCUAAUAUAAUAUCAUUGACUUUCAAGGAAAGAAUUAGGAAUAUCUCUUCGAACUAUUUGACAUAUACGUAGUGUCUUUCCCAAUCAUCGUAAACCACCCAUCAUAAGUGAUGGUUCGAUGAAAUCUAAUAUACCACUGCGCUUGGAUGACUACUUCAAUUUAUAGAUGAAUCAUCUAUGUGGUGUCCCAAAAGAUUAGCUGAUCACAUAAUGUCUAUGUAGGUUAAGGAUUUGAACCCUCUUUCAUGGCACUAGGUUUUGGAUCCGGCCGGAUUGCUUUUUAGGCUGUUGUGGACGCCCGGAUGUGAGAUUAGGGUGCCCGGAACCUAGGAUUCCUACAGUUAGGUUACCACCAAUUGACGGUGAAGGCCGAGGAUAUUCUCAAGAUAGCGUUAAGGCUGCGGUAUGUGCAUUAUGAGUUCACUGUGAUGCCUUUUGAAUUGACAAAUGCCCUUGCCGCGUUUAUAAAUUUUAUGAACAGGGUAUUCAAGCCAUAUUUCGAUAGAUUUGUUGUGGUAUUCAUAGAUGAUAUGUUGAUCUACUUCUAGAGAUGUGGAGUACGAGGAGCAUUUGAGGAUACUUCUAUAGCUUAUGAGAGAGAAGAAAUUGUAUAUCAAGUUGAAGAACUGUGACUUUUGGCUUUGGGAGGUUGCUGUCUUGGGCCACGUGAUUUCAGCCAUAGGAGUGGUAGUAGACCCGAAGAAGGUUGAUGGGAUUCAUGAUUGGCCCAAUUGACGACGAUCACUGAGGUGAGGAGUUUCCUCAGAUUAGCAGGAUAUUAUCGUCGAUUUAUAAAAGGUUUUGCAAAACUUUCCACACCCGUCACUUGACUGACUCGAAAGGAAUUAAGUUUGUUUAGAGUGAGGAUUAUCAGAGAAGUUUUGAGGAAUUAAAGCAAAGGCUGAUGUCAGCUUUCCAGUUAUGAGGGAAGGAUUCAUAAUUUAUAGUGAUGUGUCACAUAGUGGCUUGGGAUGUAUGCAUAUUGAUGUAGUAUGAUGGAGUAAUUGUUUAUAUUUUGUGACAAUUGAAGGAUUAUGAGAGACUGAUCAAGAAUAUGCUGGAACAAUCCAUCAUACAACCUAGUAAUAUAGUCCAUUUGCUUUCCCAAUAUUAUUGGUAAAAAAAAAAGGAUAGGAGUUGGAGACUCUACAUAGACUAUAGACAACUGAAAGGCAUACUUUUAAAGAUAAAUUUUCUAAUUGCAAUAAUUGAUGACUUUAGAUACAAAUGGGAGGUUCCAAGUUUUUUCACAAGUUAGACCUAAAAUCUAGAUAUCAAAGGAAGACUUUGGGACAAGAUAUUUUGUUCAAAGCAGAGGAAAAUAGUCAAGAUUUUGUGACGCCAUCUUGAGACCGCUCAACAGAGGAGCUACUUUGAUACUAGCCUAAUCUGUCACGCCCCAGAUUCCAGCACAACCCGGGCUCGCCAACAAAUCCGCCGCAUACACAGGAAGCCCUAUAUACACGAAGCAAUAGAAUUAUCUAUAAAAAAUACAAGGGUCGGUGCAUAUAUAUUAUCCAUGGAGUACAAAAGUAAAAUUCAUAAAUACAAACCCCACCUUGCACAACUUUGAACUAUAUAAAUAAUUACAUUUGUAUAUACAAAGACUAUAACCCAAAAACUGUCUCCAAAAAUGUACUCCAUUAUCUCAGCAACACGGGUGGUAGGGAUCUAACUCGCGACUCUCUUACCUUGAUCAACGGUGGCGGCAGGUAUAGGAGACUCUUGAAGAAAAAGGGAUAACAACAUGCGUGAGAACUACUAUAAAAUAAAGUAGUCCUCAGUAGAUACCAUCAUCGACGCCAACAACCUAUCUGUUAAAUCUACGAAACUGAAAGGUAUAACGGAGUAAGUAAAGGAGCAGAAGUAGUAAAGCUGGAAAGAAAUCUACAUGUAUUACUAACUUUUGUUAGAAUUCUUAUUUGGUUCUUGAUUUCGCUAAAUCUAGUAGGAAUUCUCCAUGGUAUCAGGAGUUUAAGGUAAUGCCAUUUAGUCUAACCAAUACUCUAGCAACUUUCCAAGCCAUGAUGAAUGAGGUCUCUGAUUCUUAUCUAAGAAAAUUUGUUCUAAUAUUCUCUGAUGAUAUUCUAGUUUACAGUAGAUCAUUGGAGGAACACAUUGAACAUUUGACAUUGGUGAAGAAAAAGCUGUGAGAGAACAAGUUACUUGCAAAAAAAGAAAAGUCAAUGUUCUUUUGGACAAAGAAAUGUUGAAUACUUGGGACAUAUAAUAUCAUAAGAGGGAGUGGCUACUGACCCUUCCAAAAUAGAGGCAAUGAUCUACUGGCCAGUGUCAAGGUCAGUUAAUAGCCUAAUGGGGUUUCUGGGAUUAACUAGUUAUCAAGAGAAGUUUGUCAAGAGAUGUGGACAAAUCAAUGGACCCCUCACUGAGUCUCUUAAGAAAGACUAGUUUUCUUGGUUAGAGAAAGCUCAGAAAGCUUUUGAAACAUUGAAAAUUGGCCAUAACAAUAAUUUAUACAUUAACCAUGCCGGAUUUCACAAAGCCUUCACUUUAGACGUAGAUACAAGUGGAGUUGGAAUAGGAGCUUUUUCCAUCUCAAGCAAGGAAACCGAUAGCAUUUUUGAGUGAAACUAUUAAAUGCAAGAAUAUUGGCCCCUCUACUUAUGAAAAAGAAUUUUUAGCUAUUUCAAUGGCAAUUCAAAAUGAAAACAUUAUUUGAAAUUCCAAUGUUUUCUCAUCAAAACUAACUACAAAAUCAUUAAAUAUUUGUUGGAGCAGAAGAUUACAACUCCUAUGCAACAAAAAGGCAUGAGGAAGUUGAUGGGCUUGGACUACACCAUACCGUAUAGGAAAAGGGAGAAACUUUAGCAGCUGAUGUCAAGGAGAUCACAAAAGAUGAAAAUUUCAUGGCUAUAACAGUUAUAAUACCAACGUGGACCCUAGAAGUCUCUAAAAGCUAUAAAGGUGUAGCACACUGGACCUUUGCAAAUUGCGAGGUUCAAGUGUUUGAUAUGUAUUCCGAACUUUUCCACACUUGGUGGAAGGUCGUAGAUGGUAUUCUGACCUAAAAGUUCGAUUCUGGGAGUUUUGGCAAGUCCUGAGAGUUUUCAGUCUCGGGGACCGGUCCCUGAUAGGAGAGACCGGUCCCCUCAGAACAGUGUUGCGGCAGGACUUGAGACAACCGAUCCCUGGCGGGUGAGACCGGUCCCCGAGCGCGAUUACGCAGGGAGAGACCGGUCCCAUGCGGGGAGAGACCGGGUCCCGAACGUUGGAUUUUCGGGGCAGACUGAGAGACCGGUCCCAGGUCGGGGAGACCGGUCCCUCAGUUCGAAAACUGCCCAGACCCGGGCAGUGCACAGGUUGGAUUUUUGAGGGACUUAAGUGGAUUUUGUUACUUCAAAGGGCCUUAAGGCCAUUUCCUCUCUCCCUUACCCUCAUUUCUCUCCCUCACAUUCUCUCUACACCCUCUAGAAAGAGAAGAAGAAGGAGAAGAAGAAGAAGGAGUUGGAGGAGAGCAAGAUUUUGAGGCUUUGGAGCAUCUUCCUCUCCUUUUGCUCACCAUUGGAGGCUUGGGGCUUGCUGUUAGGGCUUUGUGGAGGUUCAAUCUUCAACCCUAGAAGAUUUGGAGCUUAUUUUGGGGCAUCUAGAGAGGUUAGUACUUUGAUUCUAGCCUAUGAUCCAUGUUUUGGUAGGUUUUACCAUAUGAAACCCUAGAAAUGAGAUUUAGAGUUUAUUUUGGAAAUUUUUGAUUUGAGGGCUUGGAGACCCAAUUGAUGAAUUUAGAACCUUUAUUUAGGUUGGAUUUGAAGAACUCUAACUCCCAUUUGGAGCUUGAGAGAGGAUUUCUUCACUUGAGGUGAGUUUUCCCCACCUUAGCCUAUGUUGCUUUUUGAUUGAGCUUAGGGUUGAUCGUAAGGUUCGUUUAACCCUUGUUUCUACAUCUUUAGGGUGCUAGGAGACUAGUGGACACCUCCGUUGGAGCAAACGAAGGAGCGCAAGAGUUGUGGUGGGUUUGGCUUUAUGAAAACGGGGCGAAAUGGCCCCCAUACUUUCUAUACUCGUCAUAACGUCAUUUUAAAUGCAAAUCUAUGCUAAAUGAAAUUUAUGUGAAUUUUAGAAUACUUAAAAUGUAUGUGUUAUGUAUAAGAAAAUUUUCACUCUAUAUAGUAGAGCAUUCUGGGUAUUGUUACAUGCAUUUGAGUAGUGUUCGCACUAGUCGUUUGGAAACAUGCUUCAUAUGUUUAAAGUGGCUCAAUUAUGCAUUUAUAAAUAUUUGGAUUAAGCUUGGACUUAGUAAAUGAAAGUGUCAUAAAGGGGCACUUAGACUAGCACACUAUGAGAUUAUUGUAUUGACUUAGUGAUAGGCCAUGGACAUCUACUACUUUUCAUGUUUUAGACAUGAUGACAUAGAGAUAGGCCUAUGAGAGAGUUGUGAUAUAUUUCAUGUUGUUAGACAUGAGGACUUGAUACUUGAGACGGAUCUUUUGGUUACUUGCCAUUGUGCUCAUUCGUACAUGCUUGUGAGAGUCGCUCCCUAAAAGCUGGCACUCCGGAGAUGGCCAUCACGAUACAUAUUCGCCAUGUGGGAUUGGGCGCCGAAAUGGAUUGCCGUGGGAAAGGCUCAUUCCUCGAGUGGGGAUGUUGACUAUCACGAGGCCAUUAGGCUCGGCACCGGCCAGACAGCCUGCGGAUGGGUCUCAGGGCCAGACAGCCUUCGGGCGGGUCUCUUCAGAUUUGAUUUUGAGCAUUCAUCAUGCCAUGUGGACAUUGAUUAGAAUAGUAAAUAAUGACAUCUUUACUAUUUGACUUAUGGACAUCAUACUAGCGAUACUUGGGUAUAUUCAUACGAGAAUAGCUUUUCUUACUUAUGCUAAAUCAUGCUAAGUAGAGAUAUCAUGUGGUAGCAAAUAUACAUGCUUAUUUACUUGUCGUACAUAUCGUUUUUGUUUAUAUCUACUUACUGACCCUCUUUUUAGUUUGGGCCUAGUGGUGUAUUUCACUGAAACCAGUAAUUGCCCACUGGGAACUAUUAUUCAAUAGUUCUCACGCCCCAUGUUUUAUGGUUUUAUUUCAGAGCCUUCGGCACCGGCGGAGGUACGGGAUUGCGGCAAGGGAGUCGCAUAGCUAGAUAGCGAAGCUUGCUGUUGCUCCUAGGUGGUCACUCUCUUCUUUUUCAUUUUUGGUGAGAGAGAGAGUUUUGACUACCAUGUAUAGAGAGACCACCUAUGUACUUGUUUAGCUUUUGUAUUGGGAUUCCUAUUAUAUUCACUUUAUGUUUUUACUUAGUGGAUUUACUUUUAUAUUUCUUACCCUUAUUGUAGCUUCUAGAUAUACCUUGCUCUGAUGCUUCUAGAUGUUCUUUUUAUUGUCUUAUUUAUCGUUUUAUUGUAGAUGCCUUAUAUGUUUUAGACAUAUGGCGGGUCUGGGCACGCGCCGGGCGAGCUUCCGCUGGGUCCCGGGGCGUGACGAAAGAUGAUAGGCAGUAUGCGCAAUUAUUAAUAACCCUCACCCUACAAUCAUGAUCCUAUGAGCACUAGAAAAUUUUAAGGUACAAGGAGAAAUUAUGUAUCAAGAAAGCAAUAGACUUAAGACUGAGGCUAAUGACACAAUUUCAUGACUCAGCCAUUAGGGUUAUUUUAGGGGUAAAAUCUACUUACCACAGAAUCAAACAACACUUUUGUUGGGGAGGAAUGAAGAAAGACAUAUGGGAGUUUGUCAAGAAAUGUAGCAUUUGUGUUCAAAACGGGAUAGAGAAUCAACCAUACCCAAUUUUUGUAUAGCCACCGCCCAUAUUAGAAUGAGUAUAGAAAGUAUCAAUAUAGAUUUCAAAAAGUCACUACCUAAAUCUGAGGACAAAGAUGUGGUAUUAGUGGUGGUGGAUAGGCUAACAAAGUUUGCCUAUUUUAUCUCUUUGCAGUAUCUUUACACUGCCAGAGGAGUGGCCAAAGCAUUCUUGGAUACGGUCUACAAAUUACAUAGAUGUCCAAAAAGGAUAGUAUUAGAUAAAGAUAAGGUAUUUACCAGUGAAUUAUGGAUUGAGUUUUUCAAGUUAAUGAGGAUCAAAAUACAUAUAAGCAUGGCUUACCAUCCAUAAACAGAUGGACAAACUGAAAGACUUAAAUAGGUGCCUACAAACCUAUCUAAGAUGCAUGUGCUUUCAAUACCCAAAGAAGUGGCACUACUGGUUAACUCAAUCAAAAUGACGGUACAAUACUGCCUUUCACUCUUCAUUGGGUAUGACCUGUUAUAAGCCAUUAUAUGGACAAGCACUUCUAACUCACAUUGUGGCCACUGCCAAACCAACUACCUCACAGGAGAUUAAGAAGUGGGACAGGCUACAAAUGGCUCAGAAUAGAAUGAAGUAGCAAGAAAUAAGCAUGUGAAGGAAAAAGAAUACUUGGUAGGAUAUUGGAUCUAUCUCAAAUUACAAUCUUAUAGGCAAACUUCAAUGGCCAUAAAGAAGAGUCUCAAGAUAGCCGCAAGAUACUACUGGCACUUUGAGAUCAUAGAGUGUAUAGGGCCAAUGGCUUAUAAGUUGUGUUUAAUUGAAGGAUCAUAAUAACACCUUGUAAUCCACAUUUCUCUACUUAAACGAAGUGCAACUUCACCAAACACAGUGUCACUAACCAUUCCUCUCACUGGAGAGAACGACAACUCUUAGUCGAAUCUAAGCAGAUUCUUGAUAGGCGUAUGGUCCGAUGAGGCAAUAGUGCAGCGAUUGAGCUAUAUACUAGUGAAGUGGAGUAACCUCCUUAUGGAACCAGCCACUUGUGACGAUUAUUGAAAUCUCUCGCAUUGAUUUCCAAGCUUUGAUCCUUGAGGACAAGGAUCGGGUUAAAGGGAAAAAAUUGUAACGACUGUAGGAUAUCACAAAGAAAGUAUGAGAUAGAGGUAAAAGGCUAUACGAAACAUAGUUAGAGAAAAAGAUAGGACUUAGCUUUUAUUUCAUACUGUUUGUAAUGGAUUUCGGGGCAGUGAUUGAAGCUUAGUGGCUAUUGAAGCUUUGAGGUAGAGAUCCAUAGCAUUUCUAUUCAGAAGGAUCCAAAAAAGGGAUGACGGAGGUAACAAGGAAAGAGUACGAGGCAUAAGGAGUCGGUGGUGGAGAGUAGGAUUUCAAAGAUGCCGCAAGAAGCUUCUACAAGAAGCUUCGGGAUUUUUAUGGAAACGAUGAUGGAUUCGCUUUUUAGCAGAACCCAACCCGAAAACCGACUUAUUUCCAAACCAUUACGACCAAAGUAGCAUGGCUUGAGUCCAUGCGACUUGGCGACCGAGCCUAACAGCCACCUAGAUAGAGCAACAUAUCAACAACCGGCCUAAGUCUGAAACUACAGGAUCCAACAUCGAUCCGACUCAUAUUAGCAUUUUACAUUUUAGUCCUACUUUUAUUCAGAAUUACAGUUGAGUCCAAAAUUGAGUCUAUAAAUAGGAGUAGUUGUAAUAUAAAUAACCAACAAGAAUAAGAUUACAAAUUUCCCUCUCAAUUCCUAUCUCCUUUCUCCUCCUUCUUCUCCUCAGCCCAAAAUGUCACGCCCCGAGCCCGCCUCUUUGGUCGGAUUCGGGCACGCUGACAGACCGCCGAAUGGACAGAGUUUUCCUGUACCGCGGACAGAAUCUCCCCUAUACGUCCAAGGCGUCACAAUCCAAACAAUGCACGAGGUUCCAAUCAGAAACAGCGUUCAACAAAGAUUGCAUAAGAAAGGUAUGAAAUUGCAUAAGGAAGGUAUGAAAACAUAAUUACCUAUGCUAUUACAAGCAUUCAACAUACAUACAUUUUACAUAUUACAUUUUCAAUUCUUUAACUCUCUUUAUAGCUUCCAAGUACAAUCCAGUUUUAACAUAAUUAUUACAACUUUGUUCUCUUCCUUUCACAACCCUAAGUUAUGCCGACACAGGGUAUUGCUAUCUCUGGUCUCAGUGGUAGGGCGCUAUCUACGGAGCUAUGCCCUUGCCUCGCGCCGCCGCGUCGCUCACGUGCGAACCUGUAACACUCAAAAGCAACGUGGGGUGAGAACUAACUCCAUAGUUCCCAGUUGGUAUGGCCACCCAAGGGAAAAGCUCGACCAGCAGGUCCAAAGGAGGCAAACAACAUGUUAGUUCAAUAGAUAGAUAUGAAAUCAUAGUUUAUGCAACUAACAAAUAUAAUGCUUUGCCUCACAAAUACGAUAAUACCAUUCUAUAUGCAAUUUAUGCAACAAUGCAAGUAGAUUAAAUGAUUCUACUCUUUAUUCUUAACCAUUCUUUACUCUUAGCCACUCAUUAUCGCUAAUCAUUCUUUACUUUAUUAGCUAUUCUUUAACACUAGCCGUUCUUUACUACUCAUCAUUCUUUAUUCUUUGACAUUCUUUAUUAUUAUUAGCCACUCUUUAUUCUCUAUCAUUCUUUCCUAAGGUUACUUUACCUUAGCCAACUAUGCUACUCGACUCGGUCUUGAGUCAAUCAUCUGCGGAUAAUCCGCGCUCUGUCCGGCUCGAGGCGAAGGAACUCUCACAUGCACCUCAGCCUUAAAUCCUCUCGACUAUAGGUCUACUCACAGGGUGAGGAUAUCCAUAGAACCUCGGACCACCAGUCGCUCAAUGGACCUACGGGCGAAGAGAACCACACAUACCUGCAUCCCCAAUCUCAUACUCAUACCUGGCGAGGAGAACCACACGUACCCGAUGAGUCACUGCCAGGCGAGGAGAACGACACGUACCCGCACUUACCAUUCACUUGCGCUUAGUCGCAAGGCUCAUUCGCUGCAUUAGCAGCCACUGCACUAGCAGCACUCAUUCCUAGGGAUUCCAGAAUCCACUUUCACAACUCUAGGGUUGGUCUUACCCUAUAGUACCGACCUAUCUCGGUCCAAACCUUUACUCAACCUAAGUUUAAUACACUUUAGGUUUGUUGCCACUAAGCACACAGCCUAGGUUCAUUAACACUAGGUUCCAAGUUCUCUACUACCUAGGUUCCUUCGACUCAAGGUUUACUGUCACUAUAUUCAUAACCUAGGUUUACUUGACUCUAGGUUUAAUGCCACUCAUAUUCUUAUUUUUCUAGUUGUCCGCACCUAGAAAUUACCCUUGACAUGCCACUCAUGAAUCACCAAUGUUCAAUGACACUAGAUUUUAUUGCCACUCUUGAUUCACCCUAGGUUCAACAACACUAGGUUCAUAUCCGACCUAUGUUUAGUAAGACUAGGUUCGUUGCCAUUCAUGUCCAACCUAUGUUUCAUACACUAGGUUAAGUGCCACUCGAUCUACUUGGCAUUCUAAUUGUCCCCAUCGAGUACUAUCAUGCAUCUUAUCUAACAUAAUUAACAAUAUGUUAAUAUGCAUGCUCUCUAACAUGAUCUCGCAAUGCUAAUAUGUACCUAGCAUGUAUUCUACAAUGCAUAUAAAUAUUAACAUGCAUCUAUCCAUUAGCAUAUAGUUUCCAUGCAACAGUAUGUAACUAUCAACUUAGCAUAAUUCUCAUAAGGAUACAUGCACACACUUUCCAUCUAGCACACUUACAAUGCCAACAUAUAUGUUCUUUCUAACAUGAUCUACAACAUGUUACCAUUCACUUAUAUGCUCUAGCAUGUUCUAUUACAUCUCAAUAUAAAACUAUCACUAGCAUAUAUUUUCAAUGCAUCAAUAUGCCAUUAUCAACUAUCAUCUAGUAUGAUUCACAUGAUACUAUCAUGCAUAUAUAUUCUCCAACUGGCAUUUAAAUUCACAUGCAUACAUUUCUAUCUAGCAUAAUUACAAUGCCGUCGUACCCAUUCAUAUGCAUCAACAAGAACUCAUACUCCACUUUGGCAUGGAGGCGACCUAGUCGCUUCGGUAAGCACAACCCACCUGUUAUUGCGUUCCGAUUGCUUGUCGACACUUGCAAUCGGCCUCCCGCGGCACACGCCGCCCGGUUCGGCCCAAUCUCACGCUCGACCACCGAACGACCACCAAUCUACAAUCCGAAAAUUAAAGAUCUGUAACUUGAUGCCACGAUACUCCGGAUCCGUUCUCGUGAUUUUUGGACGUCGCCUCGGCCCUCCAGGCGGAAACGAAAUCGAAACGUCCGUUUCUUCAAUAUCUUCACACUGGCUCGACGAAUCGCCGAACCGACUUCUCCAACGCGUUUGUAUACCUAGCAAUUAGGUUUAUAUCGGUUCAAUUUAGAUCAAACCCCAUCUAUGACAAAACCCCCCAUUUCUAAGCCCUAGCAUGUACAUAUACUCCAAAUUUCCCACAAUCUCAUGGAGAAACAUGCAUUUAGUAGUCUAGGGAUCAUUAGAAUACUAAGCAUAAAGAAUUUAACCAAAUCGUAAAUACAUACCGAAAUUUGAACGUCGAGACGAAAGCACGCCGCUCAACCGGGCGCACAAAGGCCCAAUCUGACGCUCCCAACGCGUUCGCAAGCUCGCUCUCCGCCAACACCGCAAAUUCGGGAGAAAACGAACAAGAGAGUAGGGAGUUAUUUAGAGAGAGAAAGGGAGGGUUUCUCUCUCCCCCUCCAUACAUGUGUGUGUGUUGUGGCUGCUGCGGCUGAGGAAGAAUGGAGUCGGAGAGAAAGGGAGGGUUCCUCUCUCAAACUUUCCCAAACUCUCUCUAUUAGUCCCCAUGACAAAUGUUCACUAUCGCAGCUUCUUCAUGGAUACGUGUAUGAAUGGAGUCGGAGGAGAUUCAGUAGAGAUCACACCUCGAUCAUCAUCAUCACCUUCCAAUCUUAGGCCAAGCUCAUCAUUGAUGGUUGCAACUUAGAACAUGUCAUAAUAGAUAGGUAGCCUAGAUAAAUCUGCCAUUAGCAUCAAAAACACGAAAAAAAUACUUGUAAUAAUAGCAACAUGCGUUCUAACUAGGCAAUCUUGUUAAAAACUAUGUCUAGGGCCCAAAAUCAACCUAAUCUUGCUCUAAUACCAAUGUACAAUGGAGUGAAAAUUCGAUCAAACCCUUUUGUGGAAACAACUCAUGUUAACUUUUCUUUGAACGUGACCAGUCUUGGAAUGUAGAUGUUGAUUUAUGUAUCCCCAUAUCGUCAAUGAAGAUCUUCUUACACUCGAAACUUUUGGUAAACCAAACUAUAAAUGAGCUAGGUUUCUAGUCAACCGUUCAAGACCCUUUAGGAUCAAUAGGUUAAUGGAGGAUACGAAUUUUUCCUUUGAAGAUGGCACACGAAUUUCAUAUGAAUUUUCUGAAUAUUUUCUCUAUAUUUCUUGUGUAUCUUGUAUAUUCUCUCACGUAUAUUUAUAGUGGUUUAUAACACCCUAUAUAGUAAGUGCAAUAUAAGAAAAUUAACAUUUAAGAAUAUAUGCUUUUUCAAUAUUUAACGAUACUUAAAAAUGUUCCAAAAUAGUCUACCGCCAUAUUUGAAAGCAUCAGCAAAUAAAGAGUUGCUAUGUAUAUAUCGAUGCUUAUGUCAAAAGUUGGUAAAAUAUAUUUCAACGCUUUAAAGCAUAAGGAGUUUUUUGAAAUUUUGAUACUUUAAAGCGUAAAAAACUUAAAAAUAAUAGUAAAGUUUAUCAUUUAAUAGAUUAGUUUGAUACAAUAGAUGAUUUAUAUGACGAUACUUUUUGAACUAUCGGCACUUGCUAUAUUGUAGGGACUCUAGGGGACGCUUUUCCUAAGCUUCAUCUAAAAAGCGUCUUAAUAAUGAGAUUUUCUUAUAGUGCUAGAUGAUUAGAUCGAAUCAGUUUAGUUAUCUUAAUAUGACAAGGAAAUAUCUUUAAUUAGCUUUUCAAAUUAAAAGUGAUGUUAAAUCUAGUCCAAUUAGCAGCUAGAUAGCAUAAUAACCAUCGAAUUGAUCAUGGAUGCACUUAAUUCGAUUUGACCGAAUGCCAACAAAGCGAUGCAGUCCAAAGCGUCUUCGAGUUUUUUGGGCUUUGAAGCAUCAGAGCAGUUGCUUUUGGAGAAUGUAUCACCAGUCGAGGCCUAAUUAAGGUCAAGUAUAUAAAAUUUUCAUACUUGCAAAUUUCUCCACAGAGUUAAGAAUAUACAACUAAAGAAUAGAAUAUUGCGAUAAUUGUGAUAGUAAUUAAAGAGCAUGUAAAAUAGGAGAUGCAUUUGUAAUCACAACAAUGAUAAAUAACAGACGUAUCAAAACAUAUCUUGUGUUUAUCAGGUACAGCACCUUAUAGUUAGUAAUUAGCUCAAGUUGUUUAGGUUAUUCCUACCUGUACUCCUUUGUCUUGGAGUUGGUUAGGUAAACAUGUAUGUAUUGCCAUGUAUACUCUAAAGUAAUUAUAUAGCAAAAAAAAUUUCUUUUCUAAUUCAUCAUAUUUUCACAUUGCAUUAAAGUGGUCUUGAAGGACGCACCACAAUGUGUAUUCUUUUUUUGUCACCAGUCACCCUUUUCCUCGUUCUUUCUCUUUUGCAGGGAUGACUCUUAGUACUAGGAACACAGUAUCAACCAACAAGAUGGUCGAUCUCACUUCUCCCUACUUUACUCGUCACUUGUUUGCUCACAACGGACAACUAUCUUACCUGAUUAAGAGCAAUGAAGAAUGCUCUUCCAGCCAAGAACAAGCUUGGUUUCAUAGAUAGGAGCAUCGAGAAGCUGCAAGGAGCUAGAGAGGAAAUGAAUGCAUGGAAUAUUUGCAACUCGAUGAUCAUUGCAUGGAUCUUCAACUCGCUUGACAAGACUUUGCAUGGUAGUGUUGCAAAUGUGGAGUACGCAAAGACGUGUGAGAUGACCUCCGUAAUCGAUACUCGCAAGGCAAUGCUCCAUAAGUUUAUUAAAUCAAGGCAGAGAUUCACUUUCUUCGCUAGGAAGGAAUGUCUGGCUCCAUAUUACACCAAAAUUAAAGGGCUUUGGGACAAAUUUGACAACUACUCGCUGACUCCGGCUUGCACCUUUCAAGUAGCGGCCGAAUACAUCAAGGAGUGAGAAGUGGAGAAAUUCUACCAUUUUCUCGUGGGUUUCAAUUAUGAAACUUUUGGUAUUGUUCGCUCACAAAUACUUAACUAUGAUCCCAUUCCUAGCUUGGCCAAGGCGUACUCAAUGGUAACACAAGAGGAGCGCCAAUCAGAUGUUGCUCAAGGAAGAGAGACACGUACCGAAGCAGCAGCAUUUUUUGCCGGUGAUGGUCCACGCCAUAUUACACAUAAAGCUCUACUAAAAUGUGAGCAUUGUGGCAAAACAGGGCAUAUCAAAGCUACAUGCUAGGCGUUGCAUGGCUACCCAAGAAAUUAUGAUAUGAAGUGUGCCAUGAAGUCUAAGAAGGAUAGUAGGACAGUUAGAAAAUUGCGUAUGGUAAAAACGCAGCAAAAAAUAAAAUCAAACAAAUUUAAUUUUGAAAACUCCUGAGAUCCGAUAUCAAAACUAUGCAAUUAGGAUCCCUCAUAUUCUUUAAGAUUAAAAGAGAAAAGCAAGAUCCAAUCUUUACCUUCGCGCGGAUAGAUCUUCACCGCAAUUUGAUGAUCGUGGAAUUAGGUUCUCUUGAAGCCGCACACACGUUCGGCCUCUAUAGGUAUCCACACGAGGUUGGUAAUUUGAUCGAUGUCCUCACCGGGGUGCUAGCUCUCUUGCAAAGAAUGUCCUUCUUGCUAGAAAAUGGAAGAAAGAGGAGAAAAGAGAUGACGGCUAGGAUUUUCUAAAAACUUCCAUAUAUUAUAUAGAAGGAUAUAAUCCUCUUUUUAAUAAUAUAAUGACCAUUAAGGAUAAAUACAAAUCUAGAUUUAAAUUUAUCCUUUCCUUAAUUGAUUAGAUCGAUCAAAUCCUAAUUUGAUUCGACUUGAACCUUAUCUUAAUUUGAUCAUAUCAAAUUAAUAAUGCAAUAUUUGCAUAUAAGUCCUCUCAUAAUUUACUAACUAUUACUAAGUCCUCUCUUGUAACGUUUAGACUUUAAUACCACUAAUUUGUAAUAAUUAUAAAUUAGUCCAAUUAUCAACAUAUUGACAAUUAGGUUCUCCGACGAUUCAAAAAUCGCGAUCUAGCUAUCCAAUCAGUCACAACCUCUUAUGUGUGCGACCCAGUAGAUUCUAUUCUAUCUGGUAGUGAGAUAUAUUUUGAUCACUCUCAACAAUAUCACUGAAACUUCUUUCAGUGGAUCGGAACAAUUCCAACUCAGCCCAAUGAGAAUUAUCGAUCAUCUAGAUAUUUCUCAUGAGUCUCACUAUCCACCAGUGACGCCUAGCAACAUGUAGUGGCAUUCCAGUAGAAUGAAAUACUAAACUUUUUGGUGCAGUUAUCGUGUGAUAUAGUCCUUCUAUUAUAAGUCCUGACUAGACGGAGGUUAUGGAAUAACUCGUCAAACCCCAUCAUUUGUCAUAUGUCAAAUUUAUUCGACUCGAGUUUCUAAUAUCGGAAACUCUUUUUUGCUAUUAAUUCUGCCCUGGCCAAGGUCUUCUAAACUCGGUCUCAUAAAUCACAUAGGACUAACGCCCCUAUCUAUUAAGGGAGAUAGAUUACAUAUAAGUGCACACUCUAUUCCUACAAUGAACCUACUGCAGUCAACAUGCACCGUAAGGACCCGAAUGGCUAGGGACCAAGUGUAUGUACGGUCAAACUACAGUAACCUCAUUGUAAGUAGCCGAGGCACCGCAGGGCAAAGGACUAGUCACACUACUGGAACAUUGAGUAAGUCACUUACGAGUGAGUAGACAUCCAAGUGACUUCUCACGUUGGUCACGCUCGGUACCCUUGUUCUCUAACAACCACCUGCAUAUUCGCUUCAGUGUCUCUACACUAUCGACUCGAGACUCGUCUACCCAAAAAGGGAAGCGAUCUAUGCACCAAUCUCACCGGCUCAAUCACCGUUCCCGUGAUGAUCCAUCGAUCGGGAGCAUUUAGGAAUUAAUCACCAAUAACACAUGUCUCAAAUUCUCAACUCUUGAGAAUAUAUGUCAUCAUCUUAUUAAUUCCUUGGAUGAUUCAUGGACACAUACACAACAUAAAUGAAAAUAAGAAUCCAAAUUUAUUCACAAUACUUUAAAGUCAAAAACAAAUUUAUGAUCUAGAAAGAAUACAUGUAUCGGCCUGAUUGGCUUCUAGGGCAUACAUCUAACAGGGAUGACCCCAUCAGAUAGUCAUCCAAUCGCUACUGCAAAUUCUGCUCAACUGAACAGUGGCCAUUCUUCUGCGGCAGCAUAGCCUUCACAUCAAUCACCUCUUCUAACUGAUGCAAAGAUUCAGCAACUCUAUGCACUACUCGUUACCUCAAAUGCCGCACCGAACAUCUUGUGGGUGAGCUUUUCUCUUAGUCUGCAGGUGUAACAUCUUAGGUUCUUGGCGCCGGCGCAUCGGCCGAUAUGACUGGCACUUUAGAUGACCUCUUGAAUGUGUAUAACGUUCGAAAUAGUUUUUCUAUUCAUGUUCCUAAUAGAAAGAUGCUACAUGCUCAAAAAAUUGGAGGCAUCAAAUUUGGCUCUAAUCUUUUUCUUAAAGAUGUUUUAUAUAUUCCAGAGUUCUAUUGCAACUUAAUAUCUAUUGGGCAAUUGGGACGUGAUUUACAUUGUUGUGUAACAUUCUUUUCCAAUAUAUGCAUCUCACAAGACCUAGCUUCGAAGAGGCCGAUUGGAGUACUACGGGUGAGUUGCGCAAUAGGGUCUAUCACUUAAGGAGUGUGUUGCACUCAUCAGCCUUCGUAGUAGUUUAUGGUGUCGAUGUGUAAUAUACCGAAAAUUCGGAAAAUAAAUGUCGAACUUUAGUCAAAUUGACCAAAGUGCGAGGACGGUACACUUCGGAAAGUCCGAAGGUGUUAAAAUAAGUAAAAGUGCGUUGUGGAAGGUUUUCGAGAGCUGAGGAAUCAAAAACCUGCAAACUGCAAUUUUCGAGCUCUCGGGGACCGAUCCCUGGUGGGACAGACCGGUCCCCGAACACGCAAGAAUUGAGAAAAAUCGAAAAUCGGCUAAGUCCCUGAGAACCAGCUCUCGGGAACCGGUCCCUUCCUGAGAGACCGGUCCCCCAAAGACCGGUCCCCUCAAAGAGAGACCGGUCGCAUCGCGCGCAGCAGCUCUGGCUGCGCAGGGUGGACCUUCGAGAACCGGUCCCUAGUCGGGGAGACCGGUCCCCGAGCCCGAAAAUUGCCCAGUCCAGGCAGUUGUAUAAGGUGAAAGUUGAGGGGUUAUCUGCAUUUUGGCAACCCAAUGAGCUAAGUAUUGGGGUAAAUAAGAUAUUUCUCUCAUUCUCACCCUCUCACACUCUCAUCUCUCUCUUUCUCUCUCUAGAAGACAAAAAGGAGAAGAAGAAGAGAAGAAGGGAAGGAAAAAGAAAGGAAAAGAAGAAGAAUAAAGUGGAGAAGAAGCUAUUGGAGUGAAGCAACUUCAUCUUCUUCCUCUCUAGAGCAAGAAAGGAGCAAGCUUAGAGGUAAGAUUUGCCCCUUCUGAUGUUAAAUUCCAAACUAGGGUUUGGAUUAGAGCAAAGAUGAUUUUUAUGUAACCUUUAGAGUAUUUGAAGCUUUUCUUUUGCUUCUUUAGAGAUCAAGACCAUAAGUUUAGUGUUGGAGGUGAAGCUUGAAGGAGAGCUUCAUCCCCUCUCAUGGUAGAAUCCAAACUAGGGUUUGGAUUGGAUUAAAGAUAGUUUAGAUGGACUCUUUAGAGUAGAACGAAGCUACUUUUGCUUUCCAUUGAGAUCAAACCCUAGGUUUGAUACAUGUAAUGGAGCUAGGGCACCCAAAUUGGGGCUUUUGCUCAUGGGGAUUUCUAAGUAAAAUUGGCUCUCUAGAAACCUAAUUGGGGGUAUUUCCGACGCGUUGGUACUCUCGGAUUAGCAUUACGAAAAGUCUGUAAAAAGUUAUGGGCAAAAUGACCUAAGUUGGCUUCGUUUUGCCGCAGGCAAAGAACGAGAAGUCUAAAAAUCCCAAGAAAAUCAUCGGAGCACCCUUGAAAGCCUACGAGGUGGGUGGUGCUUCUCAAACUCGUUGAACUUCCCUCUAUGCCUAAUGUGUCAUUCAAUUGAGCAUAUGUUUAUACGUUGUUGCAUGCAUUUUAGGGUAAAGUAGUGAUAAUAAUGUGAUGUUGCAUGAUUGUGAGUACAACUUGCAUAAUGUGAUGGUUGAGAACCUUAUGAAUGUCAAAAACCCUAAAUGUGUGCAUGAGGUGAAAUGUGAGAGCCAAAGUGAGGCAAAAGAACAGAGUGACACAUGACAUAGAUCGAGUGGCAUUUGAUAGUGCAAAGUAAAGAGACACUAGAGCUAGUGUGAGGCAAAGAACCAAUGUGAUGUAAAGAAUUAUGCUAAUGACUAAAAUGAAAACAAAGUGGGAUGUAAAGAAUUAUGCUAAUGACUAAAAUGAAAACAAAGUGGGAUGUAAAGAAUAAGAAUGCUAAAGAUAGCCAAAAGUAAGGAAAAGUAAAGAACAUGAUUGCUAGAGUGGCAACAUAAAGUGAUGUAAAGAACACUAGAGUUAGUGUAAAGUCAAGAUUGAACAUACAAUCCUUUGAGUUAAGGAUUCGAUCAUACUUGCUAUGAGUUCCGUGCUCGAGGGCGGUCGCUCCCCCUCGGGCGAUGCGCUCCGGAGUUAUGCAUCACGGGUUGGAGUAAACCCGAAGGACGGUCCUAGCGGGUGAGUUCCUGCGAUGAUGGACUUAAUGUGAAGCAAGUUAAUGUGGCGAAACCCCCGGAUUAGCCUUGAGAUUAAAGAACAAAGAGUAAAGAAUAAAGAGUAAAGAACAAAGAGCAAAGAACAAAGAACAAAGUGUAAAGUGUAAAGUGUAAAGUGUAAAGAACGAAAGAACUUGCAUAAUCUGCAUAUGUUUAAUGUUGAGCAUAUUUCCUGCUUAUUGUUCAGGCAUAUUAGCAUCCUAUUAUAGAUUGGUUACUAUAUACACCUUAUCCUUUCUAUUAUGCCUGAGUUAGUUCUAGUGGGAAAGUCGGUGAUGUUGAGGCCGAACCCACUGGGAACUUUGUUGUAGUUCUCACCCCACUAUUUCCACAGAGCCGGGACCGAGCGAGCCGGCGAGCGACCGAGGUAAAGGAAUCGCGCCUUAGUCAGAGGCCACCAGAGUUGGGUUUAUCUUUUGUAGUAAAGUACCCUAUGAUCAUCUUUUGUACUUGAUGAUAACAGAUGUAAAGAAAAGAAUGUAAUGUGUAUUUUGAGGCAAAUGUGAUGUAAGAAGGAAAUGAUGAAAUGAAAUGUAAGGAAUUCGAAAAUGUACAAGAUGAAUGCAAUGUAUAUGGUCAAAAAUGAAUCAUAGUACAAGUGAAUGUUAGUUUCCUUUUUCUUUCACUCGUGGCUUUUGCUUACCCUCGUGUAAGCCAUGUUUAUAUGUUUCCGCUAGUGCACUUCAUAUUUGAAAAUGUACAUGUGAUGAGCCUUGGGCAGAUAGGGGAAACUCUGUCCGUUCGGCGUCUGUUUGACGUGCUCGGGUCGGCCCAAAUUGGUAUCGGUCCCGGGGCGUGACACGAUGAGUCAAAGAUUUGGCACAUGCGAAUAAAGCAUCCAUUAUUUCAAGUUCUACAGCAUUUUCUUGAUGUUUUUUCUUCUCAUGUUAUCAAUAAACAAUGUGAUAUUUGUUAUCAAGCUAAAUAGACUCGAAACCAGUUUUUCGUCAGUUCUAGCAAUGCAUUACAAAUCUCUGAUUUGAUCCAUAUUGAUACAUGGGGAUCCUAUAAAUUGCCUUUAUUAUCAAGAGCUCGUUACUUUCUAACAUUUGUUGUGAUCAUCGUCACAACACUUGGGUCUAUCUUAAGUGCGAGAAAUUGGAUACUCAUGAUUUCAUUGUUUCCUUUUAUAACAUGGUUGUCACACAAUUUGGUUGCAAGAUCAAAAUCAUUCAUAGUGACAAUGGUCUAGAAUUCGUUUCUCAUUCCAUGGCCAAAUUCUACUCUCAACAUGGCAUUAUUCAUUAAACAAGUUGCAUCGACACACCAUAACAGAAUGGCUGAGCAAAGUGCAAAAGUCGGCAUGUUCUUAACAUUGCUCGUGCUCUUCUUUUUCAAGCCUAUCUACCAUUAAAAUUCUAGGCUGAGUGUGUGUUAAUCAUAGCAUCUCUUAUAAACUAUAUACUAUCCACUAUUUUAUCCAACAAAACUCCAUUCUAAAUCCUAUCUAGUAAGCCUCCUUCAGUCAAUCAUUUACGAGUUUUUGGCUCUUCGUGUUAUAUUCAUCACAAGUCUCGCAGUCGUGAAAAAUUCACAUCAUGCACUCGCGAAUAUAUAUUUCUUGGUUAUCCUCAUGCAAGAAAGGGUGGAAUGUUUUCGACCUUUUCAACUCAUGAACUUUUGGUUUCUAAUGAUGUAAUUUUUCAUGAAGCUUCUUUUCCUUUCAAAGCUUCCCUAGCACCUAAUUCUUCUAUGUCAUCUUCUCUAACUCUGAGUCUUGUUUCUACAGAUCCAUUGGUUCCUUCAUAGCAUGAUGCUGUCACACCAGCUUUGGAUUCCUCCCCAGCCACAUAUGCUCAUGUUUUUUCCUCAAAGAAUUUCGUGAUAAUACCUAUUUUCAUUCCACAACCGGCUGGUCCAUCUGGCUCACAUGAUUAUUCUAUUAAGCUAUCUAAAGAGUGCACACAAGUUCCCAUUGGCCCAUUUCGGCUGUGUCCAACUUUGAAUAGGCAGUUGUUGAUCCAUCUAGAUCAAGUGCGGCCGUCAGUCCGUUGGUGCCUAUUGACAUGGGGAGGUUGGCUCAAUUGAGGCCACCAAGUGAACACAAGAAACCAGUGAAGAAUCGUGAUUAUAUUUGCAACAUAGCCAUCUCCUUAAACCCCACUCAUGACUCAUCCUCACCCAAUUCCUCUUUUGGUAAGGCCCAUCACCUUGGAAAUCAUGUUACUUAUGAUCAUCUAUCAUGUACUCACAAAGCCUAUCUAGUUUCUCUAGACUUUGUUGUUGAGCUCAGGUCCUAUUCUGAGAUGGUUCAUGAUCCCCAAUGGCUUGAAGCCAAUAGCCAAGGAAAUUGAUAAAUGGGUCUACAAGAUCAAACGGCAUGCUAACGGAAGGAGCGUUAUAAAGCUCAACUCAUCACGAAAGGAUUUACUCAAAUCGAGGGCCAUGAUUUUCAUUAAACUGUUACCCCGGUUGCCAAACUUACAAAGGUCUAUUACUUCCUUUGCCAUCACCAAAGGAUAGGAGCUCCACUAGAUGGAUGUCAACAAUGCUUUUCUCUAUGGUGAUCCUCAUGAGGAGGUUAUAUAUGCCUACCUCCUGGUUUUCACUCUAUUUGGCCGAAUAUAGCUUGUUGCCUCCGCAAAUCUUUGUACGGCCUUUGUCAAGCUUCACGCAACUGAUACUUCAAACUCUCAGAUGCUUUGAAGCAAUAUGGGUUUUUCCAAUCCUUAGUCGCCUAUUCUCUUUUUACUUAUUCGAAAAGAUGGUAUCUUUGUUUCUCUUCUAAUCUAUGUAGAUGGUCUUAUACUUGCUAGCAAUUCGAGCUACUAUUGUUCUUCUUUCAAGGCAUAUCUUGAUACUUGCUUUCAUAUUAAGAAUCUUGGCCCGUUGAAAUAUUUCUUGGACAUUGAAGUUGCUAGAAAUGGUUCGAAAUUGUCCUUAUCACAGAGCAAGUAUACACUGGAUAUCUUAACAGAGUGUGACAUGUUAGGAGCUAAAGCUGCCACUUUUCCCAUGGAGCAAAACUUAAAACUCAUGGCAGACUCAGGUGCGCCUCUUUCUAAUACUGGCUGGUAUUGUCGCUUGGUUGGUCAUUUGGUCUAUCUUACCAUUACACGACCUGAGUUGAGCUACUCGGUCUAUAUCCUCUCUCAAUUUAUUCAAGAUCCACAUCAAGGACAUUGGGAUGCUUUUCUUCGUGUUCUCUUAUAUUUGAAACAUUCUCCUGACCAAGGUAUCAUGCUUUCUCAUCCUUUCAGUUGACGGCUUACUAUGAUUCAGAUUGUGCAAGUUGUUCUAUGAUCGGGAGGCCAGUUGUUGAUUGACGAUUUUGUCUUCCUUGGUGAUUUGCCAAUCUCUUGGAAAACUAAGAAACAACAUACUGUAUCUCGGCCAUCUGUAGAGGUUGAAUACCACUCCAGGGCAACUCCUGUUUGUGAACUGCUUUGGCUUUGAUCUCUCCUCAGUUCUCUUGGAAUCUUUAACUCUCGACCAAUGCAGCUUGCAUGCGACGAUAAGGUAGCCUUGUACAUUGAUGCAAAUCCCGUCUUUGAUGAAUAUACAAAGCACAUAGAAAUUUAUUGUCAUUUUAUUCAUCAACAUAUUUUAUCCCAAGCAAUUAUCACUGCUCAUAUCGCUACUAAAUUCCAAUUGGCGAAUAUUUUGACUAAGGCCCUUGGUCGAGAUCGGUUUCACUCUCUUCUCCGCAAGUCGGGUAUUCAUGACAUUCAUACUCCAACUUGAGAGGGAGUAUGAGACAUCAAAACAUAUCUUGUGUAUGUCUUGUACUACACCUUAUACUUAGCAAUUAGCUAUAGGUUGUUUGGAUUGUUCAGGUUCUUCGGGUUGUUCCUAUCUGCACUCCCUUAUAUUGGAGUUGGUUACAUACGCAUAUAUGUAUAUAUUGCCAUGUAUACUCUGAAGUAAUUAUAUAGCAAAAAGGUUUUUCUUUUCCAAUUCAUCAUAUUUUCACAAUAGAGAAUAACAAUUGACAAGUUCACAUCACAUAAACAAUUUAACAUACAAUCGAACUUUAUUACCAACCGACAUAUAUUUUACCAAAACAUGAAAAAGCAAACCCGACUAGAACCAAAAAUUCAACAAAGACAACAAAUACUAGAACACAAUUCGAAACUACAGAAACCGGUAAUUUUUAUUUAACGGCAUUGGAAUGUAGUAUGAUUCUGCUAUGCAGGUUUUCAAGUAGAUCAAGCAGAUCCCUUGAACUUCUUUGUGAUUGUCGCGAAGUACUGGCCCUGAUGGAACGCCUGCUGUAGCUCGAGUUCGGAUGGCAAUCUCGAACCGUCUCCUGCGAAUGUGCCGGCCCCAUAGGGGCUGCCGCCCUUCACGUUCUCCAUCUCAAACAUUCCAGCCCCAAAAGUGUACCCAAUCGGCACAAAUAUCAUUCCAUGGUGGGUCAACUGAGUUACAGCUGUCAAACUGAAAAGGAAAACAGAUAAGCUAAACUAGUGUGCAAUGCAUUUAAACUGGCAAAAUUUCUAGCAACAUUUAGCUAGUUAUCUUCUCCCCCUUAUAUACAGCAAAAUGCAAAUGAGACAGAAAAAUUAUUAUGAAUUUGAAUGUUGAGAGUUUCGAAAUUUAUGUGGGGAAUACGGUCCCAGAGGAACAGCUCUUUUUUUCCCCCACUAAAUAUAGCGUGUCUUAAUAGAUUACAAAAAAGAGGUACACAUUGAUAGAGGGAAAUCAAUUAUAAAUGACGUAAGACCAAAUUUGGACUAAAUAAUGGCAUAGGGUGGCCAAGAUAUUUGCAUAAUGACAAUCAACAUAUUGUUAGACAGACUAAAGACCUGUUUGGCCUAGAUGGAUCCUCUACAGAAGUUAAGACUGGCAUACGUGUUCAAAAAAAUAUCACUAACACUUGCAUCAAAUUUUCCCUAGUAGCUGUGAUUAUGCAGUUGGAAAUAGAAGGUUCAAGUUUGAGCUUUUUACUUUCAGGGCAGCAGCCCAUUUCAGGUUCUUAUCAUAGUAAAACCUUCGAACUCUUUGUUAGUCCAAUGCCAGACUUCUCAAGAAAAUAAGUUAUUCCAGAAACCAAGCCAAACAAGUAUUAGGAGUUACAGACACUGUUCCAAAUUCACAACAUACUUCAACUAUUAGAAAGAACAAGAAAAGAAUAAUUGAAAAUAAUAAUGAUUGAUUUCAAGGCAAAAACAAAACAGCUUACGCAGUGGUCUCUUGUCCACCACCCUGUGUACCAGUGCUAAAGAAGAUCCCUGCAGGUUUUCCAGCAAGCUGUUGGGUUCUCCACAACCCUCCGGUGGCAUCAAGGAAUGCUUUGAACUGUGCAGCCAUCAUCCCAAACCUAGUAGGGAAUCCGAAAAUAAUCCCAUCGGCAUCCACAAGUUCAUUUGGUUUAAUAAUGGGCACAUCACUCUUUGCGGGUGCACCCAUCUUUGUAAGUACUUCUUCUGGAAGAGUUUCAGCUACCUAUUAAACCAAAAAGAUAAGAUUACUGUACAAAGUUUAUGCACCACAUAUGCGUUUUAUGACACUUGCAAUUCAAUUGGCAAAAUCCCAUCAUAGAAUGAGAUGCUGCAAAAUCUUUGGAUACUUUCAUUUUGGUGAAAAUAGGGCUAGAACAUCAAGUUAUCCACUUACAAUAAGUGGACUGAAAUAGUUAUUCCAGUUAAACUGACUAAUUCUAGAAUAACCAAGGAACAACUCUUCCUGCUACCCAGUAAAAUACUAUUGUCACUUGCAUUAUCCCAACUUAUUCCUGUUAUCUUUGCAGUUAUACCUUAUUAUCCGUGCAAUCAUUACAAUUACUGUCUAAUGUCUUGAAGUUAUCACUAGACAAAGGGAUAACCCAGGGAUAAAAUUUGUCCCUCUACAAUCUAUCCUUGAAACAAACUCUGCCUAUGACAACAUUAAGUUUCAGAUGUCUAACAAAAAGGAAUGGAGAGAUGUUGUAAGAGAAAAAAAGUUUUGGCUCCUUGAAGAAGCUAGCUAGAAAAGUUUUUCAUAGUACUAUCCAGCGACCACCAUAUUCAAGAAGAAAUGAGUGAUGCCUAGAAUUCAUUAGGUUAAACUAAUUGAGGACAACAACCACAGCUUUGUCAUGUUCCCUGCUUCAUACCAGAGGGAAAAUGGUUUAGAAUAUUUAGGAAAUUAAUCCCUGAACAAGCGGUGAUAGAUGAACAUCGCAAUUGAUGAACCUAAAUUUUAAAGGUAUAACUUCUCUUGUCGAGAAAUGAUAGUUCAACCAAGUAAAUAUCCCUGUAACAUUCUGGUUCACUCCAAGCACUAAGAGUUUUUUUGCCCUGGGUAAUGCUUGUGUAGAAAUUCUGCUUCAAUGAAGCAUAAAAAUCUCCACAACAGCUUCACAUUGCACUAGAAGAAGAAGCUUCCAAUUGGAGCUUCUGCUUUUGGAGCCAAGAAGCUCAUUGCAAAUUCCUGCAGUAGUAGAAGUUUCAGACUUUUUGCUUGUCAGGCGCAUGAUUAUUGCUUCUUCUCCAUAAGCUAAAAGCUUAGUUUAUGAAUAUCUCAAUAGAGCACUUUGAUAGUCUUGGAGAGAUCCAAACCACACAUCAACAGUAUAUAGUUAGACUCAUUAAGCUAUACAAAGGUCUGCUGCAACCAUAACAAACCUGCCACAGUUUAGCUUCUACUCCUACGACGGAUGAGGCACCUUUUUUUAUCUCCUCUGCAAGCUUCUCAACAUGCCCAUACAUAGAGUAGUACCUGUAGAAGUAUAUGUAAAAACAUUAUUGGAAUUAACUAUUUUGAUAAGCUCUUUUAGUAGCAAACAGGGAUGAGCAUUUGGCACAGGUACGAAGAUUCCGGAGUAAACAAUUCUAACAAAUCUUUUUAGCAAUAAACAGGGAUUACCAUUUGGCAAGCAAAAGAGAAUGACUUUGGACUCAACAUCAUACCAUAUCUUUUGAUCAUCUUACUGAUGGAUGUUUAUCUCAACCAAUGUUCAAAAUUUCAGUUUUGGUUUCCAUUUCUCCUGAACUCCUAAAUGGCCUUGGAAAACAUUUUACAUAAAUACCUUUUUUACUUUUACAAAAAUGCCUCUCUUAAAAACAACUGCACAAACAAAACAUUAGUAAUAUUCCGGGUAACCGAUUCAUGUGAAUCAGAUGCACAGUAAUCCGGCAAUUACUGUUAGUUCUAGAUUCCAGGAACCAAAUAAAACACAAGCACAAGGGUGUUAUCUGAAGAAACCUGCACAUUCAGGGGAUUCAAAUGAAAAUCUACAGGAUAUAUGACAGUAGGAAAUUUCAGGUAGGGAAUCCACAUCGAAACAGUAAAGACACAAUAAUAUCAACAUGAAGCAAUAAAAAUAGAGGUAAAUAAAAGUUGAAUAUGAAAGGACAUCAAAUAUAGGCCCCCACCAUUAAAUCGCGAACGUUCUAGAUACAUUGUAUUAAUUAGAGGGUACAAACCUACCAAGUCGAUAGAGAGAUUUGAGUUUUAAAAUGUCCAACAUAUCCAAACAGCUAAAUCACAUAAAGAAAAAGCCAAAAGAUUCAUGCUCCUUUUUUUUCGUCUUUUUGGAAUUCUUUACUAAUUAGUACACUUUGGUGGUGGCCACUUGAUUAUCUGAGAAUAAUGGUAGGAAAUUUUGAGAGGGUAAAUCGUAAUUAUAAUUAGUUAUUGCUUUAUCAAGUAGCUUCAAAUCACAAAAAAUGUAAAAGGUUAUUCAAAAUUUGAAACCACCUGGAUCAAAUGCAAAAGUACAAAACAAAGAGAAUCCAUGGGAAACUUACACACUCUCAAUUGUUUCAAACAUCAAAAUGAUGGAUAUGUUACUUACAACCGAAAAAAAAAAAGAAAAAGAAAAAGAAAUUGUAUGAGACCCCCUCAACUAGAAACCAAUUCAAAAAGACCUUUCAACUUUUUUUUCUUUGGACUGUAGCCUUUAAACCUGUAAUUGCUUUAAUUCGAGCUACUUUUCUUAUUUCAAUUAGAAAUUUGUUAAACUUAAUAACUCGAUUAGCUAUCAGUCAUUAACAGUUAACGCAAUCUGCAUAUUGAUCACUCAGAACAUGUUCAAUAUAUAAAAAAGAAAUUAAAAAUACUGUUCUCUUAUAGCCUAAGUUUCUGGAGAAUAAUAUUAUUUCCUGUUCUUUAAUAUGGUAUUAAAGCAAAAAGUCCUGAGUUCCAGUCCCCUAGCAUUAUUAAUUUCUCUUCGGCCUAUCAAAAUAUCUCGAGUCCAGAUCUUAAAAAAAAAAAGAAAAAGUAUUGAACAUAAAAACUAAAAAGAAAAAGAAAAGAAAAAAAAAAAAGUAUUGAACAUAAAAACUAAAAAGAAAAAGAAAAGAAAAAAAAAAAAGUAUUGAACAUAAAAACUAAAAAUAUCGUUCUCUACCUACCUGCUUAACCUUUUGGAAAAUACCGAUUCUUUCACAUUCUUUAGCAGAACGGUUAAAACACAACGAACCAUUUUUCAAAUUAAUUGAGAAAAAAAAAUCAUUAAAUCGAAAGCUAAAUAGUUAAGGGAUCUACUUCAAAAUGGCAUAUAGUUGACGGGAUCUACGUACAUUUUAACAAAAAACAAAAAAAGCAACAACACAAUGUGAUCAACAGAGAAAUGGUACUACAUAGACAUAGAUCAACACAGAGAGUGCAACAUGCAGAGAUUUCAGAGGUGGGUAUUGAGAAUGCUCACACAAUAUAGACUUUGGUCGCCAUUAAUGGGGAUUAGAAGCUCGGAUCGAUCCCCCAAAUCCAAAUCUCAAAGAGAAAAAAUGAGUAGAGAUUUAAAGAAGCUCCUCUUUUUUUCUUCUCUUUUUUUUUUUUUCCUUUUCUUUUUUUGAGCUUGUAUUUCUCAGCGGAUGGAGAGUUGGGUUAUUUAUAGAGAGGAGUGAGAAAGGAUGGAUGGGUUUGACUCGAGAGGUGAGAGUUGAAUUUUGGAGAGAGCCCCCCUCAAGGCCUCAACGCAUCCAUUUUCCCAAUAAAUAAAUAAAUAAGUAAAUAAAUAAAAUUAAAUGAGAGCAAAAUAAUUGGGGGUUACUAAAAAAAAAUAGAUGGAUUGGUGAGUGCUCGUUAAAUGAAUAUUUUAAUUGGGGGUUUGUUGUUGAUGUCAUCUCCACCGUCAGCCUUCAUCAUGCUUCGUGAACAGCUGCUUUUAGAUUCGUGAAAUCAUGUCUGAUUGGCGAUGGAGAAUGGAAGGUGGAGAUGCUAUGUUAAGUUGUCCGAUGGGAUUGCCUGGUCCGAUCUUUCGAAUGAACAAAAUUUAAAUACUAAAUAUUAUUAAUAUAUUAAACUAUGGGAUAAAGUUUAAAUUGCCCUAUGUGAUUGUAGCCUAUUUUUUACUUUUACAAAUUGUAGUUUAAAAAGUUUACUUUGUCCCCCUGUGAUUUAGCUUAUUUUUACUUUGCGACCAUGUGGUUCAAAAAAUUGCACUUUAUCUUACUGUGUAGCGUCACCAUGUAGUUUUUCAAAAAUCUUUAUUUUCUCAUCCUAUUUCAUGUAUUUUUUAAAAAAAUAAUUAUACCAUACAAGGAUAAAGUCAAACUUCUUGAACUCUAGAGAAUGAUAAAAUAAAAAAUGAACUAAACUACAAAGGAAUAAUUUGAAGUUUAUCUAAAUUAUACCAUUGAAAAAAAAUAGUAUUUAGCAGUGUCGAUCAUUCAUACAAAUACUCAAUUAAAGUCUACUGUACUUCCAAAAGCACUAUGCUUAUGAAGGGCUAGGAAUUUUGUUUUAGAAUUUAGGAUGUGAAAAUUCCUUUUCUUGUUGAAUAAAAAUAUUAAUUAACAUCUUCGUUUAAGUUAGAAACUAAUUGUCGUUUCAUCUUUUUUUCAACCAAGCCCCUACUCUCAUUUAAUUUUGAAAGUUUGGAUUUCAUACUUGAAUUUUUAGAGAUCAAUGAUUGUUUUACGUUAUUCAACAGUUCUAAACUUUGAUGUACCAUGCAUUUUACGAGAUUGUUCAUUUUUAACUAUCCAUUUUAAAAUCACUCAAUUACUAGAUGGAUAAUGUUGAAAAUUUAAAAGUUCAAAUAUCAUAUCUUAAAUAGUUUUAAUCACAUUUUACCACGUCAAUCAUGAAUUUAGAUGUUCUAUUAUCGACAAAAACAAAGUGAAAAUAUUAGAGCUCCAUACUUUCAGAAAUUUAAUGUUUCUACACAACUCUGUAUACGAUGAUAAAUUAAUUUAGUAAAUACUUACAAAUCUGAUUAGAUUACAAAAAUCUAAUGUUUAAAUUAGAUAUAUUAACAGAACAUCCAAUAAAGUGGUUCUUCAAUAAUAUAUUUAACACAAUCAUUUUGUUUAAAAUUGUCCAACUAUAAUUAUUGAUAUAAGGUAUCCAACUGACGUUUAUCAUACGUACAAAUGAAUUUUAUUUAACAUUAAAAUAUAAAAAAUAAAAUUUUUUUCAUGUAUUAUGUUAUUAGUCUUUUCAUAUUAAAAUGUAAAAUUCCUUCUAGCUAGAUAUAGCUAUUUUUGUGUAGGCGUUACGGCGAGAAUACAUAACACCGGAGCAUGGAACACGACAUGAUUCGGACGCGGCAACUCAACAGCUUCAAAUAAAGUAGGAUAUGAACACAACAUUGCUAAUAAAAUAUAAUAUUAUUAAUGUAAAUAUUAUAUAUUUACUAGUUGAGUGUAUAUACAAAUGCACGUACCAAUUAUUUAGUUGUUCUUUCGGUAUCAUAUUUAUCCAAAUAUUUAUAAUAAAAAUUUAAAUUUUAAAAAAGUAGAUUCAUCUUUAUCUUAUUAGAAAAUAUCUAUUAUAUUCUAACUGAAAUUUGAAUGAUUGCUAUCAACUAUAAUUAUACACUAGUGUAGCGACCCGCACGAUGCAGCGGAUAGAUAAUAGAAGCAAAUUUUUAAAAUUUUAAUAAAAUUUAUAUUUACAGUUUAUAGGAAGCUAUACCAUGUUAAGCACAGUUAAUUUGCAUGACUAAAUUUAAUUGUUAAAAAAAUAAAAUUAUAGCUAGAAGCAUAUGAAAUACAUAAAUAAUAACUUAACGUAUCUGGCUUAAGAAAAUUUUAGGUGGGGUCUCAGGCUCCAGUCUCCACAUCAUACUUUUUAAUCUACGAAAGGAAUUUUGCCCACAACAGUGUCUACUCAAAAAAAUGGUCAUAAGAUGAAAAUAAAACAAAAAACAUCAAUCUUGAAAAAACUAAUACUUUUUUGGAGCACUUCUUUUACUCAUCCAAAUCUCAUACAUCUUCUUAAUUUUCAGCUGGUAGUUGCUUCCCACGCCGAGUCACUUCUGGAUUUUCAUUGUAACCUAUGAACAAACACCUCAUCUGCAUCACCAAACUGCUAUAUCUAAACUGACUCAGCCUUGCCAUCACAUCAACCACAGAAAUUCUAAUUCUUAAACAAUUUGAUUUAUCAAAAAGUUCCUGCGAUUCUUGAGAAGGAGCUCCCGCGCAACGUCCCCGCAAAGAGGAGGCUAGGACGCCGCUCCCCUCGGCCCAGUUGUGGGCGCGCGUGAGCCGCGCGAGGAGGCAGCCGAGGCGGUGGCGGUUCACGGCGAGUGAGGGCUCCGGCGCAGACCGGCUCUGCGAGCACUUAUAUGAGCCGCGACUGGACUUUACAGGACGAUACUUUUUGAAGGAGACAACGUUCUUCGCAUGCUCUUCUUCUUCAUCAUCCUCAUAAUCUUUGUUAACACAAUGAGAUAGAGAGAAGGAGAUGAGUGUGGGGUGAGAGAUUAGAUGAUAAUAUUUUUUUUUUCAUGGAAAAUAACAUGUCAUGCAAAAAAAAAGGAGGUGGGGGGAUUAAUGGCGGAGAGGAGUGGAUUGGAGUUACAAAGCUCACUAAUUGGUGGAAUAUGAUGUAUUUAAUUAAAUGUGGAGAGGUGAAGGGUUGAGCAUUUAGAAUGGAGAAGAAACUAAUUGGUGAAAUAUGAUGCAUUUAAUUAAAUGUGGAGAGAUGAAGGGUUAAGCAUUUAGAAUGGAGAAGAAACGAAGGAAAGAAAAUACAUUGCCUCAUGAAUUGGAACCCCAAAUUAGAAAAGGAUAUAUAUCAGCAAAGUAUGGCGCAAAUCGUUUCCGAUCCCAUACCUGCGAACCAAAAUAAUAAUAAUAAAAAGACUUAAAUUCAACUAAAAGAGAAUUAGGGAUUAAGAAAUAGAGCAACUGAAACAGAGGAUUGAACACAAAUUCAAGAAACAAAGCAUAAAUUGAUACAAAAAUUAAUGAAGAGAUCACACAUGAUAGGAUUUUUAGGGCAAAGACUGACACGUGAGGAGGAUUGAAAACCUGCAAAUCUUCGACACGGAGGCCGAGAUUGAGGGAGAAGAGUUGGGAGCUAGGGUUAGAGUUCGACUCACCCGACAUUGGCGUCGUUGUCAGUCGUGGUGGAGGAGGCGGAGGCGGAGGCUCAGGCGGACAAAAGGUGCUGGGCCGCUGCCUCUGUCCGCGGCGGAGAGGAGAGGUGAAGGGUUGAGCAUUUAGAAUGGAGAAGAAACGUAAAUUAAAAAAAAAUGAAAGCUUACCACGUCAUCAUUUUACAUUGAAAAUUCAUAUAAGAGUAUAGAUUUCUACCAUUUUUUAAUAUAUAUUUAAUAUUUUUAAAUAUUUUUGGAAUUCAGACAAACCAAAAUUUAAGUAUGUGUUUUAAACUAAAAGUACUAAAAUUAUAAUUCACGUUUAAUUUUAAAUUUAAAUAAUUUUGAUUCACUUUAUUUAAAAGUUUUUAAUUAACAUUAAUUCAAAUUUGAUAUCACAAAAAAGUUAUAGAAGUUCUCUCUAUUUUAGCCUAUUAUAUGGUAAAUCGUCAACAACGACUAAACAUCUAAUAAACUAGGAAACCUAACUCUAAAGUAAUUUAAAAGUUUUAAUCAUAAAAAACUGCAUGUACAAUCAAAAUAGGUCAUCAAAAUCAACUUAUUAUCGUACCUACGUGGUGGCCAAUGACAAGUUACCAACUGAUACAAAAAUUGAAAAAAAAAAAAUGAGUUACCAACUAAGUUCUGUCUGGCAUUACUCUCGCGCGGCUAAUUAAUGUUAAACCCAGCGACGCAAAAAGAUCUGAAUUGAUAGAGUUUUCACUUCUAUUCACUCUAAAUGAGACGAUAAGUGUGAGUCAAAAAUAAAAAAUAAAAUAAUAUGUUCUAAAUUCGUCUUUAUCCGCCGAGAAAAUGAAAUGUAAAAGUGGAGAUGCCUUCGUUUCUUUGAUCUGUUUGGAUUUGUAAAACAUUCGCUGAAAAUCUCCUUCUGUUCCGACUCACCCAGAAUAAAACGGUGAGUGAUGAAAAAAAUAAUAAUAAUAUAAAAAUUAAUAUGUUUUAAAUUUUUUGCGACUUGUCUGGAAAAAAUAAAUAAGAAGCAGAACGCGUUUGCAACCCAAGCGAUGGAGGCGGCCGCUGCAGGAAGAAGUCCGAAUCUCAAAGUCAGAGAGAGCGGUUGCGCUCCACAUUCGAGACCUUCAGCUUGCAGCCGACGCAUUCGACAUUUCGGCCGCGAAGCCGUUGGUCGACUAACCACUGCUCGCCACCUCGGACGACCGGCUGACGUUUUCCUUACCAAAGCAUCACGUAGAACGCGAGAUACGGCUUCACUUUGAACUUCAGGUAAAAAUGUACCAAGGCCCCCCACCUCUAGCAGUUGCUAAAUUUACCCCUUCAACUGUAAUUUUUUGAAGUAACACACAUUCUAGAGAAAUUCGUUUAAUUUUCAGAUAGAGAGAGAAUAACUCACUUUCUCCAUUAGCACAUUAAAUUUAGAAAGUUUAAUUUAGACCGUGGAAUAUAAACUCAGUUCAUUCAUAAUUUAAUUUAUUGUAAAAUUUGAAGGUUAAUUACAGAACCAUCAUCAGCGAUCUAAGAAUAUGUGUAUCAAUCUCUAUAAAUCGAAAUCGGCUAAGUGUAAAAAAAUAAAAUAAAAUAAAAAAACAAAACAAAAACCCAAACAACAAUGAGAUUGGCUUUUCUCGAAAAUAUAUAAUCCAAUUUUUUGCGAAAUUUUACAUAAGAAUGUUAAAGAUAUGUCUUCUUUUUUAUUGAUUUGAUUCAUACACCGGAUUUAUGGAAAAAUAAAAAGGAUCUCAUAAGAAUUUAUUUUGGUGGAUCCUAAUUUAAAUUGGAAUCCUAGGUGGACUAAGAUUGAUUUUCAUAUAAGACUCUAUAUUCAAUAAUCACAUUGAAUUAGAGUAGGAUUGAGCCAAAUCCCUCUCUAUAUAUAUACAUGCAUAUGCAUGUAUAGCUGGGUGAGGCGUGUGGAUAAAUUAAUUAGCAUUUACGAUCCGGCUAAUUAAUGCACGGCACCUCCUGUGGCCAUACGGACGGAAGAGAGGCCAAGCUUAAUUAAUUAGGCACCCGGCCUUGUGACCGUACGGUUCUUGAGGGGGUUCAGAGGCUUAAUUAAUUAGCACCCCGGCCAUAUGGACCAUGCGGUUUUUGGGGUGCAUGGAGGCUUAAUUAAUUAGCAUGCGGCGAAGCUAAUUAAUUAAGGUGGCCGGUUCUCUUCAUGUAUAGCAGUACAGUAGCAAGAGAAGAAGAUGCGCAGUAGCACGCAUGCGACGGAUUGACAUUGGUGGCGGAGCGGCGGUUCUCAACCAAUUGCCUGAGCGGUUCGGAUUCUUCGAAACAACGGCAUAAAGGAAUUUGGUUAGAGUUUCUAUACUUCUCUAAUUUGGUCUUCUCGGUUUUACGAAAAGCUUUUUCGGUAUUUUUCUUGGAGUUUUCGUUGGAACAAGAAAGGUGGGAUUCACCAUAAGGUUCUUGGUUUUUUAUCCGGAGAAGACAUAAGGUGUAAGCUUGUACUUCUAUUUCUUCAUAUAGUGGAAUACAUCUCUCUCGCUCUCCCCGUGGACGUAGGCAAUUGUCGAACCACGUAAAUCUUGGUUUCUUCUUUCUGCAUUUAUUUCUUUUACCGUUCGGUCGAUUUUCUCUAUUUUUCGUGCAUCUUUGUUGGUAACACAUGACGGACGAUCCAUCCGGUUCCCAACAAAGCAAAUAAAUCCUCGUUUUAAUGAGGGAAAGAGCUAAACAAUCAUUUAGGUCUCUCUGAAAUUGUCCUUCACCUUCAAUUUUUUGAAUUGAGGCUUUCUCAAUUUUUGAAUAAUAUUUGUCAACUAUAUUAGAAAUUUUAUUUCAUUUACAAGUGCUCAUUUUUUAACAAAUAGAUCCUGAUCAUUUCAAUGGCCUCCGGAUCAAAACAAAAGUAUUCUAUGGAAUCUAUUGUUCUAUUUUUUUUUUCUUUUUUAAACAUAAGCGCUGUAACGAUUCAACCCGUUAGUAAUAAUAACUCGUUGGAUCCAAACCACCAGUCAAAAUGAUUUAGCCCAGUUAUUAUUAUUAGUGUGUGUUGGAACAAAUUCCACACAGAAAUCUGAUUGUGAUUUAAAACUAACCAAAUUUUGUGAUAAAAAUAAUAAACUCAACUUACAGAUAAUUGCUAAAUCCAAAUAGAAAAUUUGAUCGAUCCGGAAGCGUGCGAGGCACUGCCCUAAGGCGUAUUUCCGUCCUUACAUGCGGGAUUAACCGGAAACACCGCCCCAAGGUACGACCGGAACUCCUCCUCUUACGAGCACGAUCGCGGAAGAGGUUGACGGAGCUUUUUUCAACACUCGGUGAAGAGAUAAUAGAAUGAAAAAAAAAAAACAAGUCUCUCAAAAAAUACUUCUCACUAUUGUAGUUGUAUCACCUCAUGUGUAUAUAGCCCAUAGUAUUAUUAGAGACACAGGAGAGGUAAGUAUAUAAAGGCAAAAGCAUGGAACGUUGGAGCCCAACGUUCCAAUGCAUGCACUAAUAAAUAUCUUAAUUAGCGAAAGGAUCUGCGCAGGAUCCCAACGCACGGAGCGGCUGCAAUUGAGGCACCAAGCUCCCAACGCGUGAAACUGCGGCCGUUCCUCUAAUUAAAAUUAAUAAUAAAACAAAUAAAUAAAUAAUAAAAUUUUGGAUUUUAUCCAACAAUCCCCUACAAAAUUCAAAAUUUUCAAAAUGAAAAUAAAAAAUUAAAUAACAAAGAAAGGAAAUCAAUUAAUCAUCGAGUGUUUAUACUAUGUAAUAGGUAAGGUGUCUUUAAGGACUUAACCUCACUUAGUGUUAGCAGUUUCCAUCAGAAGGAAUCGGAGUGAACUAGGUUUUAAACUACGUUUCUUUGUCCCUGACUUCAACUACCACACACACAGUACAGAAUUCUCCGUCGUGGGUCUGUGCGUUAAUGGCCAUGCACAGUACCUUGAUUUUUCAUAAGAGUUUCUAUGUAUAACCCAUUCACAUAGCCGCGGCCACAUACAGAUACUCUUAUAUAGGUGGUUUCCUCCAAGGAUGUGUGUAGAGUCACAUAUCGCGAAAUUAUCGCCUUGGAUCCUAUUAAGAACUAUCAGCUCAACCUAAUCCACUACACAGAACACUACUCACCAUAGGGAAGGGAUUGAAGCUAAAGCUCCUGUAAAUAAACUGUAAAAAGUGCUCUUUGGACAGCCUAACAGCUUGUUUUUACCACAUUGAACCUUCUUCAAGAGAUCUCCUAUCACAAAGGUUGAGUUCCCACUGCAGGAAGGCCCUUUACGGGCAAAAUCCCAUCCCCCUCGAUGACUCCAGGACCUUAGUCCUAUUCAGGCGUUUCGUCAAGCAAUCUGCAAGAUUCUGAUCAGAUCUGAUAAAACUCAAAUAAAUAACAUUACAAAAAAUAACUAUCUAAUAAAUUUAUGCCUCAAACUAAUUUACCUGCCAAUCUUAGAAUUUACAAAUUUGUUUUUAUGAUGAACACUAGGAUAAAAUUACGAGAGCAAUUAUAAUAUCAAAAUUUAUCAAACUGAUAAAAUAGCUCCCCCCACAAGUUCUGUGAUACACCAAAACUUAAAAUUAUGAAAUUAAUCAUGUUUAAUAUAGUUUGGUUCAUCAGCAAAUAUAUGAUCCAAAUAAUUAUAAAAGUUUGAUUUUUUUAAAAAAUAUUUUUUAUUAUUAUUUUUUUUUUACAAAGAGUUUAAACUGUAGCAGAUUUUUCUUUUAAAUUCGUGCUAGUAUAAAAAAUUACUGUAGCAUAAAAACCUAUAGCAAAACAAUAAAAUUUUUUUUUUUAAACCAAAUAAGUUUUACCAAAGAAUUUUACUGUAGCAAAAUUCUAAAAUUGCAUACUAAUAAAAUUAUUUUUACUGUAGCAAAAUUAUAUUUUUUUUUCAAAAACCACAAAACAGUAUAUGCAUUUGCACCGGAAAAUUUUUUACUGUAGCAUUUCUUUUUAACAAAAGAGCUAUAAUAAAAGCAUUUUUAUUUUUUUUAAAUAAAAUAAUUACCAAAUAAAAUGUAAUUUAAACAAUAAAUUAAAUAAUAUGCAUUUACAAGUUAAAGUGCUAAUUCCGAAAAAUUUAUAUUUGAAUGCCAAUCAUACAAACAAAUUAACAAAUAGAUUAUAUACAUAUAAAAUUAAAAUUAAUUUAAUACGAAUUAGCACUCGUUAGAUUUCAAUCACAAUCAAAUUGGAAUACGCCUUAGAUUGUUGGAACAAAUUCCGCAUAGAAAUCUGAUUGUGAUUUAAAACUAACUAAAUUUUGUGAUAAAAAUAAUAAACUCAAAUUACAGAUAAUUGCUAAAUCCAAAUAGAAAAUUUGAUCGAUCCGGAAGCGUGCGAGGCACUGCCCUAAGGGGUAUUCCCGUCCUUACGUGCGGAAUUAACCGGAAACACCGCCCUAAGGUACGCCCGGAACUCCUCCUCCUACGAGCGCGAUCGCGGAAGAGGUUGACGAAGCUUCUUUCAACACUCGGUGAAGAGAUAAUAGAAUGAAAGAAAAUAACAAGUCUCUCAAAAAUUACUUCUCACUAUUGUAGUUGUAUCACCUCAUGUGUAUAUAGCCCAUAGUAUUAUUAGAGCCACAUGAGAGGUAAGUAUAUAAAGGCAAAAAGUAUGGAACGUUGGAGCCCAACAUUCCAAUGCAUGCACUAAUUAAUGUCUUAAUUAGUGAAAGGAUCUGCGCAAGAUCCCAACGCACGGAGCGGCUGCAAUUGAGGCACCAAGCUCCCAACGCGUGAAACGGAUGCGGCCGUUCCUCUAAUUAACAUUAAUAAUAAAACAAAUAAAUAAAUAAUAAAAUUUUGGAUUUUAUCCAACAAUGUGUCCAUCACUUAUAAACCGAUCACACUCUUCAACAUUAUUCGAUGUGAGACUAUUGGGAUGUCACAUACUUUUCUCGUUUAGGCACUGAUGUUCUCGUCAACCCGAUCUCAUAAGCCCUGGUGUCCUUGUUAGCCCGACCCAAUCAUUUAUACAAUCUUAGAUUCACCAAACGAUGUGAGAUCCAUCUCACAUUUCCGACUCGUUAUUAGACUCUGAUACCAAAUAUAACACCCAACUUCCAAAGGGGUUUUAGCGGUUCGGGUCGUUACAUUUGGUAUCAGAGCCUAAUAACCAAUCGAAAAUGUGAGAUAGAUCUUACAUCGCCUGGUGAAUCUGGAACAAUGUGUAUAUAUGAUUGGGUCAGACUGACGACGACGUCAGGGCUCAAAUGACGAGAGUAUGUGACACCUCAAUAGUCCCAUAUUGGAUAAUGUGGUAGAGUGUGAUGGAUUUAUAAAUGACGAACACACUAGUGAUAAUAAUUGGAUUUAAGUAUUUGAGGCCCAACUAGUUAUUAUUGCUAGUAUGUCAGGUCGUUAUAUUUGGUAUCAGAGCCUAAUAACCAGUUGAAAGUGUGAGAUAGAUCUCACAUUGCCUGGUGAAUCCGAGACUAUAUAUGUAUGAUUGGGCCUAGUUGACGAGGAAGUCAGGGCUCAGACGAUGGGAGUAUGUGACAUUCUAAUAGUCACACAUCGGAUAAUGUGGGAGAGUGUGAUGAAUUUAUAAGUGACGGACACACUAAUAAUAAUAACCGGACUUAAGCAUUUUCGGCCUGUACAACUAGUUAUUAUUGCUAGUGGAUCCGACCGUUACAAGCGCUACGUGAUUGAAUAGCUUAAUUACAAUUUAUAUGGUAGCAACAUGGCAGAACAUUUUCUAAACAAAAAUGUUAUUUUGCAUGCGUUAGAAGCCAAACAAACAAAAAUUUUAAAAUAAUUAGUGGCAAAUUUGAUUAAAGAAUAAAAUUUGUGUUCGAAAAGAUGGUAAGAACAGGACAAUAUUGAUACUAUACAUUGACUAAUUAUAAAGCACCAACUCAUUCGAACAAUGCUAGUGAUAUGUAUGUCACUGUCACACCUUAAUACACAAGUCUAAACCAACAAAUUGAAGCUUCAAUUUGAACAGGUCAAAAUCUGAUUAAAUUUGUUACCUAUAAUCCUUCAUGCAAUUAAUCAUUCCAAUUUGAGGCAUAUUACAGCCGGAUUGGCAUUUUUGCCGAUCUUACAAUCAUUUUGGCUUUAUUAUAGAGUGUAAUGUUAUUCAUUAAAGUACUGUUUGAGUAUUAUUUUUGGAGCAACACAAUCUAUAAACUCCUAUAAAAUCCGUUUCCUUUUGUCCACGUGGCGAUAUUAGUUUAACUUAAUUUUUGGUGGGGCCUACAUGCCAUCUUAAACUACUUAAUUAUUGAUUAGAGGGGCUCACAUGGCAAAUUUUUUUUUCCUUACUGUUCUUUCCAUUUAAUUGCUUCAAUCAUCACUAAUUAAUUGGUUCGAGUCGCUCGCCCCUCUAGGCGCCGCUCUGGCUCCUUCGCUCGCCCCUCUAGAUGCCGCUCCGGCUUCUAAUCACCUGGACGGAAAAUUGGGCCGAGUUCAUUGUCGUUCUUCAUUCCCGACGGUUAUCUCCUUCACAUUUAGUUGCUUCAGCUGAUUCCCAUUUAAUUGGUUCAACAAACAAAUUCGUCUUCCAUCUGAUGCCGCUCGGCCCCCUUCACGCCACUCCGACUCCUGUUCCCUCUCUGGAUGGAAUAUUGGACCGAGUUCAUGGUUGGCCCUUCUUCCCGUCGCGUCGUUCCCGUUAGCGACGCUUCGUUUCGGCUUAUUGAUCCCUCCGGUCACAAAAGUGGAUCGGAUUCAUUCUCUGUGCUCCUUUCUUGCUGCCUAUAUAAUAUGCCUCUGUAAAAAAUUUAUUUGAAGCGAAAAAACUCUAUUUCUCUGCUUGUGAUUUUUUCCUUCUCUGAUUUGGUUUCAACCUUUUUAUUUUUGUUUGAAAUUGAAUUUUGCUUCUUAUUAAUUUUUAAAAAAAAAUUGAAUAAGUUUAUUUUUCCUCAGGAAAUUGACCGUCUAUGUACGUUUGACCUACAAGUGAUUGCCUCAGAAUUUGUAAUUUCUUUGCUUUAAUUUUUAUGUAUAUACUAAUUUUUUUUGCCUUCCAGUUUGUUGCUAUGAAUAAUUUAGAAAUAUAUUUCUUUUCUGGUCCUGAUCGUAAUGAUAUUAUAUAUGACAUAAUCUUAUUUUGGUUGCCAAUUUAGAAAUAUUUUUUCAACAUUUAUUAGACGAAUUGUUUUUUCCAAUGCUGCUAUUCAUAAUGUUUUUAUAUAUGAUUUGUUUGCAAAAUAAAUUGUAUAUAUGUAUUUAGUCUAUUUUAGAAUAUCUUUGCAACAAAUAAUACUUUUAUAUAUAUAUAAUAUAUAUAUUAUAUAGAUAUAUAUAUAUCAGAUAUAUAUAUGAUCUUUUGUAUUUCUCCAUUUAAUUUAAGUAUUGUUUAGAAUCAUUAAAUCAACAUUAACCAUAUUGUUAAUAGAAAUUUAGAUAACGCUAUUAUGUCCCAAGAGCGACAGUGAUUAAUUGUUCAUGUGAAAAAAAUAAUAAAUAAUAAGAACAUAAGUCAUCUAAAGUUAAACAAAAAAAAGAGCAGCAAAGCUGUAAGAGAAAAGGCAUUUCUACCUACAAUCCUUUGCAAUGUUGUUGUAAUAUAUAUAAUAUAUAAAAAUAUAUAAUAAAUAAGACCUUUAUUACGUCAUCCCGGAAUAGAUGAAAUAAAUGUGUUCUUCUUUUUAUAAAAUAACUUAUAGAAUAAAUUUUAACUUAAUAUAUCUACCCGCCGCAUCGCGCGGAUUAUUACACUAGUAGUACUUUAAUUUGAUAGAUUUUCUAGGUAUGUAAAAUAAGAAGAAAACUAAAUACAUAACAAAAUUUAGGAUCAAAAUAAAAUAAGAUAACUCACAAAGCGCCAUAGAAAAAAAAUUUCUGAUCAAUCUGCGGAAGCGAGAAGUUCAAGUAUGAUCUAAAAGUCACGAACCGAACUUGGAUAAUUUGGUUUCUCCUCCUAUCUCAGGCACUCUGCCGUAUGGUGUGAAACCGAUGGUAAUUCUUCACCAAAAUACGUAUGAGAAGAUGGCAGGACCAAUACCCCUUUAUAUAGAGUUCAGAUCAACUUCCAAUCAAAGUUUGAUUCGGAUUCUAUUUAAUUUAAAUAGAUGGGAUAAAGAUAAAAUAUAUAUACCAUAUUAAGUAGUUCUAUAUCUAUUAGAAUUAACCUUUUUCUAUAAUAUAUUCAGAUCUGAAUAUGAUUAAUUGGGCCAAAAUUUAUGGAAAUCCUAACAAUCUUCCACUUGGCUCAUAUUAAUCAUAUUUCAUGAGCGGAUUUUUCUAUAUUCCAAACUUUAUUGCGCAUUAUUGAAAACUUUGUGGUCAAAUAUCUUAGAACUCAUACUACAACAAAAAUGGUCUACAGCGACACUUUUAAAUGUCAGUACAAGUCAAAAGAAGUGCUGCUAGCUAAAUUACCGACACUUUUAAAAAGUGUUGCUAUAUGUGAGGUCGCUAGAUAUAUAGUGACAGUUAAAGAGUGUCGCUAUAAUCUAAAAAGAGUGCUGCUAAUUUACAAACACUUAUUUAAGCAUUUAGCAACCGCUGGAACUCUACCUCGUUGGCUGAGGUGGCGGAGGAGGAUGAGAGAGAAGGGCUCUUCGUCCAGGAUUUCAGUGGAUUGAGUGAGGGGAGAAGGGGAGAUGGUAAUCGAUUUUUCUUUUCUUUUUUUUCUUUUUUAUUUGUAAUCGGACCGAAUGGGCUGGGUGGAGUGGGUUGAGUAGAGGAACCUUUCAUUUUUGGUUAGAUUGGGUUUUAUAUUUAGACAUUAGUAGAUUUUUUAAAAAGUUUUGGUAUAAAUGGGACACUUACACAAAAGUGUCCCAAAUAUGUGUCCCUAUAACCUAAUUUUGUUGUAGUGCGAUCACUUGAUCUUUAGCUCAAACUAAAAAACUAUAAUGAUUAGAACUAUGGCGGUCCACCUCUACAUAUUGAAAUUUUCUUCCAUAAUUACCAUAUCAUUUUCAUCUCAUAAUCAAGUACUUUAUAUGGCACAACUUUAUAAAUGAACUUAAAACUAUAUGUCAAUUCGAAUUCGAUAACAGACAAAACUUUAUGCCUAUUAAAUUGUCCAACAUAGCUGCAUUAAAUAUUAAUUUUAUUGAAAGAAAAUAAGUAUUAUAAUUUUAUACAUCGAAAGAUCUAAUCAAACCCAUAUUUCUAACAUGAUCUGUAUAUGACCCAGGUGCCAGCCCCUUAGUUAUUGGGUCUGCAAUCAUACACUUGGUAUUGAUGUAUUCAAUUGUAACAUAACCUUCAUCUAUCUUCUUUCUCACAACAAGAUAUUUGGUGUCCAAGUGUUUACACCCCGCUGUAAUCUUGUUGUUAUUCGCAAAGGAAACCGCAGCUGAACUAUCACAGAAAAUCUCUAUUGGACGAGCAACGGAGUCGACAAUUCUUAAGUCUGUGAUAAAAUUCCUAAACCAAAUAGCUUGUGAUGUGGUCUCAUAACAUGCAAUGUACUGUGCAGCCAUAGUUGAAGGAGCAGUAACACUUUAUUUGCUACUCUUCCAAGAUAUCGCUCCACCAGCAAGUAGAAAAAUAUACCCAGUCCUAGACUUUCUGGUAUCUAGGCAUCCAGCAAAAUCGAAGUCUAAGUACCCGAUCAGCUCCAAGUGAUUUGAUCUCCUGUAUAUUAGUAUAUGAUCCAAAGUUCCCUUCAAAUACCUCAUAACCUUCUAAACAGCCUUCCAAUGCUCCAUACCUGGAUUACUUUGAUACCUGCCAAGUAAUCCAACGGCAAAAGCAAUAUCUGGACGUGUGCAUGUCUGUGCAUACAUAAGGCUACCAAUUGAGAGGCAUAGGGUAUGUUUUCCAUCUGUUCAAUUUCUAAUUGGUUCUUGGGACACUGAAAAGCAUUAAGCUUAUCCCCUUUCUGGACAGGAGCAAUAUUGGACUAACAAUUAUGCAUUUCAAAAUUUUUCAAAACUUUCUUUAUGUAGGCCUUUUGAGAUAGACCGAGUAAACCUUUAUGUCUAUCUUUUUUUAUUUCAAUACUAAGAACAUAUGAGAUCUCACCUAAAUCUUUCAUUUCAAAAUUUUGAAAAAGAAAUUCUUUAAUGUUAUUGUAACACACUAAACUUUAGCAAAUUGUAAGGCUCGAGUGAGUAUUUAUUCCAUAAAGGCUUAUUCGACCCAAUCGUACCACGUAAUCCUUUAAAAGGUAUUCUAAGUGAGUUAUUUCAGCUCCACGUAUUCUGAAGGGUCAUUGUCACGCCCCGAUCCUGAUCCUUUUGGCAGGUUCGAGCGCAUCGAACAGACGCCGAACGGACAGAGUCUUCCCUAUCCGCCCAAGGCUCAACAUCCUGUACAAAUAGAGUAUGAAUUUUGCACAAAACGGAAGCAUGCACAAUGGCUUGCACGAGGGCAAGCAAAAGCCAAUAGUGAAAGUAAUAAACUACACUUAAAAAAUUAUUUACAUUUAUGCAUCAUUUCUUCUCUUUUACAUCACAUGAUCUCCAAAUAUAAGUUCUAGCAUUGAAAUAUAAAAUAUCUUUUACAUCAUUCAUGUUCUUUUUUUUAACAUCUAUAGUUAUCAAAAUACAAAACGGUGAUGUAUAAAGAUAUGCAACUACAAAAUGGAAACCCACUCGGGAGGUCUCUAUCUAGGGCGCGAUGCCCUUACCGCGGUCGUCCGCCGGCUCGCUCGUUCCCGACUCUGUGAAAAUAGUAGAGUGAGAACUACAACAAAGUUCCCAGUGGGUUCGACAAAAACGACCACGCCGACUUUCCCACUAGGUCUAAAUCAGGCAUAAUAGAAGAAUAGAUAGAUAGCAACCAAGCUAAAGCAAAUACAGCUAAUAUGUCUGAACAAUAAAUAAUGCUAUGCUCAAUAUAGUACUCAUGAUGAAUGCAAGGUCACUGCUCAGAACCCAAUCUCUAGGCUAGCCCGUAGGUUUCACCCACAAUAGACUCACCAACUCAAAUCCAAAGUAUCGGGAAGACUACUACACCCGACGGGACCGUCCUCUGGGGAGACUACUACACCCAGUGAUGACAACUCCGAAGCACAUCGCCCGAGGGGGAGCUACCACCCUCGAGUAAGUGCUUACAGGUGAGUAUAAUCCAAUCCUUAACUAUAAGGAUGCCAAGUUCAAUCCAUUCUUUAACUAUAAGGAAGCCAUGCACUAUGACCAUUAACUCUAAGGUUGAAAUUGUCAUAAUAUCACUAUCACACCUUCACUUGCAUUCUUUACUUUCACUAGUGUCAUAUACACUACUAUGUUCUUGUACACAUGUCACACUUGUUUUCUGAGUGUUCCAACUCUAGCAUUCUCGACUCAUCAAUAUCACUUUCUAUUUCUAUGUCAAGAUGUCACAUUUAUUUACUAAGUCCACUAAGUUCUUGUCACUUGUCAUGCAUAAAUAGGGUUUUUAUAAAAUUCUCACAUUCUUGCUAGUAACUCAUAUGCAUUUGUACUCACAACAUGCAAUGAAAUGCUCACAUAUAACCCUACUAUAUAAUUUUAUACUCAAUACACAUAUGCUCAAAUAUGACACUUUAGAUAUAAAAGAAAUUCCGAGGUCUUCGGUAUGCACCACCCACCUUGUAUGGUUGCAAAGGUGUUACGGUGAAUUUCUUGAAAUUUUUUAAGUCCUACUUUUUCGCCUGCGGCAAAACGAAGCCAAAUUAGGCUUUUUCUCAAUAACUUUAUCUAGACCUUUUCGUAACGUCAAACGGAGUUAUCCCGCACAUCGGGAAUACCCCUAAUUAGAUUUCCAAGAAGUCAAUUUACCUCGAAAAUAACCGGAGGCAAAAGCCUCAAAAUCCAUGCCCUAACAAUGCCAUACAGAAUUUUCUCCUAGAUUGAUCUCAUUCCUAGGCAAAAACUAACUUAAAAUCAACUAGGAAGUAUUCUAAUAUCAUUACUAAGCCAUUCCAAGCAUCCCUAGGGCAUCUACUUUAAACCCUAGGUGUUCACCAUUAGAGCAUCUUGGGAAAACCAUGGUUUCAUGGUGAACAAAGCUCAACAAAGCUUCUAAACAUGAGAGAAGCUCAAAACUCUAAGUUCUAUAGUAAAAAUCCAAACCCUAGAUGAGUUUUUGCCCUAAACUCACCUUAGCCAAAAGCUAUCCCCAAGUCCACCUUGUAGGAGAGCCCUAAAUCUUCUCCAAGCCACCUAAAUCCAAGUUUCUCCUUUAAAUCUCCUCCAAGUCCACCUUUUACAGAGCUCUCUAGAGAGAGAAAAUAAGAGAAAUGAGAGGGAGGGAGUGAAUGGCUGUGAGAGGGAGAGAGAAGGCGUAUUGGGGUCUUAUUAGGAUGCUACAAUUGCAUUUAGACCCUCCCCAUUUCCAUAAUUGCAGUAGUUUUUAUUUUGCUGUCAAACCCAAAGUGUACAGGUACACGGAAUGUUGUACCGGUACAUUUUCUGCGCAGAGGCAACCCGAAAGCAAGGUUCUCGGUUUCGUAGCAUUUGUACCGAUACACUUUCAAAAUGUACCGGUACACUUUCAAUUUUUUCCUCAAACCCAAGAGCUUAUUCUUCUCGGGCUGCAAGGCUGUACCGAUGACAACUCGAUGGUUGUACUGUACACUUUGCCCAGAAUGCUGGUUUUGCGCCGUUUUCGAUUCUAUUUUUCGCCGAUCGAUGCUAAAAUCUUUCUAACACCUCUUAAACUCAUUUUUAGCCCUUCCAACUUUGUUGGAAUGCUAAAUGAAACUUGUCCAACUAUUUCUUUCACAUUGUUCACUUUUAAAUCGCGCCGAGCAAUGCUAAAACUUGCUUAACACUCUCGGGACUCGACUUGACCCUUCCAACAUUGUUGGAAUAUCAACCGGACUUUGUCCAUCCAUUUCUCUCGGCACUUUAACCAAUUUGGCUAAAGUUCGAUAAUCGCUAUCGAGGUUUCGAUACGUUACAGUCGCCGACUGUGUUCCGACCUAUAACUCGCAUCCCGAGAAGUAAAGAUUAAAACUUAACACCAAAACAUCAAAAAAUAUAGAUUUUGGAUAGCUCUUGAGUUGGACUCUACAAAGCAGAGUACCGAUACUGCAUUGAUGGAGUACCGGUACUGGAGCUGGUACCGGUACUGCCCUGUGAUGGUACCGGUACGCAGUGUAUUCUCUCGCUGACCCGAGGCUCGGGUUUGCACUUACUGCUGCUUGGUACCAGUACCCCAGUCCGUGUCACUGGUAUGCAGUGCAGUGCAGACUGCACGUUGUUGGAGGGUGUUUUUGCAAAUGUUACAACUCUAUAUAACCCCUCUACAGCCUCUUGAGGACUCGUUUGAGCCCUAGAACGUGGAGAACUCAGGUGAGGACCCUCUCCCUUGGAUUUUCUCACUUUUCUUGUGAUUUAGCCUGGUUUGAUCUCCUCUUUUUGCUUCUCUUUGCUCUAUGUUGGUUUUUCUACCUUGGAGAAGCAUUGGAUUGAGGAUUGGAGCUCAUUGAGAAAAUAUCUUCAACCCUAGCUUGUUUUUGGCUUGGUUUGGAGCUUCUAAGAAGGUUAGUAAUCUUAAUCCCUCAUUUGAUCCCUGUUUUUUUAGCUUUCUUGAGAUAAAAACCUAGAAAUGAGAAUUUAGAAAUUUAUUUGAAAAUUUUUUAUUUGUGGCUUUUGAGGCUUAAUUGAUAGGUAUAGAACCUUCAUUUGGGUUGUAUUAAAAGGGUUCUAGCUCUCAUUUGGAGUGAGAGAGAUUUUCACCAUACAAGGUGAGUUUUUGCCCUUUUCUUGGGUUGGUUAAUGUUUGAACCUAGGAGUGUUCGUUCCUUGCGUUUAACUCUCUUAGAAUUAUCUUUAGGGAGCUAGGAAGCUAGUGGGCACCUUCAUUUGCGCAAACGAAAGAGUUUCAAGGAGCUCUUGAUGGGUUUGACCUCACCGAAAUGGGUGAACUCCUCCUAUGUUGUUUUACUUGUUGUAAAAAUUAAAAUUCAUGCAUAUUCAUGCUAGAUAGAGUAUAUGUGAAUUUUAGAGUGCUUAGAAUGUCUAUGUUAUGUAUCAUGAAAAUUUGACCUCUAUAUAGUAGAGAGCUAUGUAUAUAGAAAUCAUGCAAGUGGGUGGCAUUCUCUUAUGUAACUUGGAAUCAUGUUUCAUGCAAUGAAAAUGACUAGACUAAUAUGCUCUUGGACAUUGUACUCAUUUUUGAUAUAGUGGAGAAAGAUAUCAUAAAGAGGCAUCCAACCUAGUGAAUGGUUAAACUUCUACAUGAUGACAUAGUGGUAGACCUUGGGUCACUUGUUUUAUACCAUAUUUUAGACAUGAUAACAUUGGACUUGAAAUGGAUGAUUACACUUACUUUCCAUUGUGCUCAUUCGCACAUGCUUGUGAGGGUCGCUCCCCACAAGCCGGCACUUCGAAAAUAGCCAUCGCGACAUAAGCUCACCCGUGCGGGAUUGGACGCUGAAAUGGUAUGCUGUGGGGAAGACUCAUUCCUAGGGUGGAAAUGUUGAUAACCACGGGGCCAUUAGGCACGACGCAAGCCGGACUACCCUUGUGUAGGUCCUAUAUGUUUGAAUCAAACUUGAACUAAAAUGCAAAGUGGACAUUGGACAAGUUAGUAAAUAAUGACAUUUUACUAAUGGUACUUAUGGACAUCAUGUCAUUUAUACAUAUGCAUAUUCAUGUUAGAAUAGCAUUAUGCUUGUGAAAAUUCAUGCUAAGUAGAGGCAUAGUAGUUUGGUAAGUUUAUUCCAUACUUAUCAUACAUGUUGUACAUUUCAUUUUAAAUGUUAGGACUUACUACUUUUGCCUCUUUCGCCUAGUGGUGUAUUUCGCUGAGAUCAGCGGCUUGCCCACUGGGAACUAUUGAUUAAUAGUUCUCACGCCCUCUGUUUUGUUGUUGCUAUAGAGCCAUCCACACCGGGAGAGGAUCGGGAUCGCGGAAAGGGAAUCGCAUCUAGCUAGAUAGCGAGGAGUUCUUGCGCUAGGUGGUCAUCUCUCUAUUUUUGUAUUUAUGGUAGAGAGUGAGAGUUUUUGUACCUUUGUUUAGAGACCACCAUUUUUGUAUAUCUAGCACUUAUAUUUGAGAUCUUAUAAUGUAUCUAUUUGAUGGUUUAUGUAGUUGUUUAGCUCUUUUUAUUCUACUUGCCGUUACAAUUUAGUUGUUGUAUGCUAUGAUAACCUAAUAGAUGUUUUAUUUAUCUUGCUUCUUUGUACUAUGUUGUAGAUGCCUUAUAUAUUGUAGGCAUAUGGCGGGUCUGGAUACACACCGGGCGGGCUUCCGCUGGGUCCCAGGACGUGACAGUUAGGUAAUAACCCAAAAUCAUUACUGGCAAGCAAAAUAUCAUCAACAUAAAUGACUUAAAGAAUUAUUUUACUCCCACCAACUUUUAGAUAAAUACAUUGAUCAAUAAUAUUUUCUUUAAAACUAAAGGUCAAAAUAGUUUGUUUAAACUUUAAAUAUCAUUGUUGGGAGGCCUGUUUUAGUUCAUAUAUUGAUUUCUUUAAUUUGCAUACCAAGUGCUCCUUUCCCCGUUUGCGAGAAUCUUUCAGGUUGAUUCAUAUACACCUCUUCAUAAAGAUCCACAUUUAGAAAGGCAGUUUGACAUCCAUCUGGUGUAGCUCGAGAUCAAAAUGAGCAACCAGAGCCAUAAUAAUACGGAAAGAUUCCUUUUUAGAUACUGGAGAGAAAGUCUCUUUAUAGUCAAUGUCUUCUUUCUGAGUAAAUUCUUUUGCCACAAAACGGGCCUUGUAUCUCUCUAUUUACCUUUGGAGACCCAUUUGAUUUUAUAAAUCCACUUACAUCCUACGGAUUUAAUUCCUAUAAGUAACUCAACCAGAUCACAUACCUUGUUGUGGUUCAUGAAUUCAAUCUCAUCUUUCAUGGCAUUGUAUCAUUCCAUAGAAUUACUACUAUUUAUGGCUUCGGAAAACUAAUAGGAUGAUCUAGACUCUGGCCAUUCUCAUAAAGAUAGACAAUUUAAUCACUGAAUAUAGCCGGUGUUCUCUGUCUUGAGGAUCUUCUUAAAUCUAUCUGAUUAUCCACAUGUACAUCUUGAUGUGGAUUAUUCAGUUGUACAUCUUGAUUUGAGUUAUCCACUUGUACAUCUUGACGUGAAUUAUCUACUUAUACAUCUUAAUGUGAAUUAUCCACUUGUACAUCUUGAUGUGAAUUAUCAAUGAUAGGUUCACAAUCAUUUUGUGGUUCCAAAACAACUUGUUGUUCUACUGGAAUAGGAAUCAUCAAAUCGUGAGGGACAAUAGUAGGUCUGUCAUGUACAGAAUUCAAAUGCUCUAGAAUUUCCUCAAAUUCAAUGAACUGAGGUUCAGAGCUCCCACUAAUUGCACCAUCCUCAAUAAACCAUGUUGUUUUAGUUUCUACAAUCUUUAUAGGAAGUAAUGGACAGUAAAACUUAUACCCUUUGUGUAACAUAUUGAAUCUCCGGGUUGCGAUACUAACUUUGAUCUAAUUGAUCAAAGUGAGGCUUGAGCGGGUUAUUUGGUGUUCCUGAGCAAUUCUAGAUGCGUGGGGAUGAUUGGAAGUGAAUUUUAGAGGUAUUUAGAUGUUUCGGAGCAAACCGGCGUGAAAACGGAUUUCCGAAGCUGUUCUGCUAUUAAAGUGCAGAACUGGCACUGGGUACCAGUACCAGGUCGAUACAGUACCAGUACCCUGCCAGCGAGCGAAUGUAUAGCGUACGGGGUCCGGACAGCGCGGGCUGGUACCGGUACUAAAUCCUGAGUACCAAUACCUAAACUAGAAUCUGGACUGAAUUGUAAAGUUUGAAGGUGUUUUGUUGGGGGGCUUAUUUGCUAUUAUACACGUCUAUAUAUGAACCCCACCUUCACACAUGUCCCUCCUCAUGCAGGAACAUCUCGUUUCCUUCUCCCAACCCUUUAUCUCUUCCUCUUCUCUCUCUAGAAACUCCAAUCCAUGGUGGAAUUGAUGGGAUUUGAGUUUGGAUUUUGAUGGUUUUGGUAGAGAAGAAGCUUUUGGUGAAGGAGGAGUUUUUGGAGCAAGAAGCUAAGGUAGGUUUUUUGUGAUUUCUUGUUAGGGUUUGUUUUUAACUCCCUAAUUGUGUUAGUUUUUCUUUUCUCUUGGAUUUCUAGAGCUUUUUAUGCUAUGAAAUCGUAGAAAAGCUAUAUCUUGGGUGUCUUGUUGAACCCUAGGGUGAAAGUUUGGGAUUUUGUUAUCUAUGAGAUUUUACUUAGGUUUGAUCUCUUGUAGCCCCAAUUGGAGUAGAAAUCGACGCGUUGGAAGACUCAGAUUGAGAUUCCGACAAGUCUACGCCAAGUUAUUGAGAAAAUACCUCGUUUCGGCUUUGUUUGUCGCAGAGCAAGGGUAGUGAUUGUUCAUAAAUCGCGAAAAGUGAUUUUCUCGCAUUCCGGCAUCACUUGGAGGUGGGUGGUGCUAUCCGAAGUCAUCGAAUGACCUAUUAUGUCUAUGUCAUUUUUCUUGAGCAUACAUGUAUAUAUAUAUAAUUGACAUUCAUGCAUUAUAGGGUUGAAAUUGUUAUGUGGUUAAAUGUGAUAUGUGGUCUAAUUGUAUGCUUUGGAGCAAAAAUACAUGUGAACAAUGGUUAUUAAACAUAGAACCCUAUAGUUGAUGGACAAGUAUGGACUAUGACAAUAGUUAAUAAACUGACAUUGUGAUUAAAAGGUAUGAAUAGCACCAAGUAGUGUGAAUAGUAAAUAAGGAAAACGAACUUGUAACAUUUUCAUGAGAUAAGUUGAUUAGCAUUUAGAGUGGACAUGCUAAACAUUGAAUUGUGGCAUUGUAUCCUCCAAACGAGGAUUCAAUCGUACUCACAAGUAGUCUAAUGCUCGAGAUAGGUAGCUCCACCUUGGGCGGUGAGCUCCAGAGUUGUCAUUAGCUGGGUUGGUAGUGGAAUUCUCCCCAGGAGACGGUGCCGUCGGGUUGUAGCGGAAUCCUACCUGACAAAAGGGAUUUGGUUGGUGAGUUGUAGUUAACCAAAUUGUUAACCAAGUAAUUGGGUUUUGGUAACUUGAUAGCAUGCAUGCAUAAACUUCAUAAAUUAUAUGUUGUUUGUUUCUAGCUUUGUACAGGCAUUGUAGUAAAUAUAGUUGGUUACUAUCUGUUCUCUUUCUUGCCUACAUAUGCCUGAUUAAAACUAGUUGGUGAGUCGGCGAGGUCGGCAGCCGAACCCACUGGGAAUUUUUAGUAGUUCCCACACCACUAAUCUUGCAGAUCCUAGCGUGAGCGGGGCGAUCGAGGAUCAGGGCAAGGUUAUCGCGCCCUAGAUAGUGGGCCUCCUUCAAGUAUAGUGUGCACCUGGGUUAUGAUCAUUUUGUAUUAUGAUGAAUGUACUAUGUAAAAGAACAUCAUGUAUAUAGUUGGAAACCUAUAGUGCAAUUUUGAUUAAUGGAUGUAAUAUAUGAAACUUGUAUUUGGUUUAAUUUUGACAAUGGAUAAUAUAUGUUUAGUUAGAAUUAUUUUCACUUUCGUUGUUGUUGUUUUGCUUGCCCUCGUGCAAGCCAUGUAUAGUGAAAUUUAUCUUGAGCAAAUUUAUUAUACUUGUAUCGUGGUUGUUGUGCCUUGGACGGUCAGAGGAGGUUCUGUCCAUUCGGCGUCUGUUUGACGUGGCCGAACCGACCAAAUUUGCGGUCACUGGACGUGACACUUGGGACCUUUCUGAAUAACCAAUAAAAUAUCCUGAUAUGAUUCAAGGGUCCAAUUUCUUUAUUUGUGGGUUAUAUAAUUUGGCCUCAGCUUGACAACCCCAUGUAUGAAAAUGUCUUAAACUGGAUUUCUUACCUGUCCAAAGCUCAAAAGAAGUCUUAGUGACAGCCUUAGUAGGGACUCGAUUAAGAAUAUAUAGGACAAUUUUAAGUGCCUCACUCCACAAUGAUAUCGGAAGGGUAGAAUUUCUGAUCAUAUUCCUGAGCAUAUCAAUUAAUGUGCGGUUCCUUCUUUCAGCAACAUCAUUCUGAUUAGGUGUCCUUGACAUAGUGUACUGUGGAACAAUUCCGCACUACUCCAAAAAUUUAGCAAAAGGCCCAAGGAUUUGGCCUUUAUCUGUUUGUCUGCCAAAAUAUUCACCACCCCCAUCUGAUCUGACUACUUUUAUUCUUUUCUCGAGUUGAUUCUCUACUUCAGCCUUAUAUGCCUUAAAGGCAUCUAAUGCUUCAGAUUUUUUCUUAAGCAAGUAGAGAUAGCCAUAUCGAGAGUAGUCAUCAGUAAAUAUGAUAAAAUAUUUAUGGCCAACAAUUGAGAGAGCAAGAGGUCCGCAUAUAUCGGUAUAAAUCAAUUGUAAUGUUCCAUCACAUCUUUUAGCACCUUUAGAGGAGGUUUUGGUCUGCUUUCCCUUAAUGCAGUCCACAUAAAUUCCAAAGUCAGAGAAGUCCAAAUCAUCUAAAAUGUCUUCUCUAAUUAAACUUUGGAUUCUUUGUUUCGAGAUGUGUCCCAACCUCUUAUGCCAUAAUAUAGAUGACCUUUCAUUAUUAAUGUCACAUUUUGAUCCAAUAUUUUCGUUCAUAGUAAGAAGGAUUUUACUAUAUGAAUCAUCUAAAGAUAUUUUAUAUAGAUUAUUUUCCAAAAUACCAAAGCCAACUAAUUGAGAUUUGUAGGAUAAAAAAAAAAUUUUAUUAUCAAAACUGAAACUAUAUCCCAGUCCAACAAGUUUCGAAAUAGAAAUUAAGUUAUUAGAAAUAUUUGGAAUAUAAAAUGUAUCUUCUAAAUGCAAAAUGUGACCAAUGGAAAGAACUAAUCUAAAUGUUCCUACGAAUUCUACUUUAGUUGGAUUUCUUGCAGCUGUAUAGAUAAUCGCUUCAUCUUUAUUAGGUUUUCUGUGAUUCUGAAAUUCCUGCACAGAAUUCACCACGUGGCAUGUGGCACCAGAGUCAAUCCACCAAGUAUUAAACGGAACAGAAACUAAAUGCAACUCAUGCAUCAAAAUCAAGAACUUACCUUUCUUCUGGAGCUGUAUCUAAUAUUUUUUGCAGUCCUUCUUCAUAUGACCUUUUUUCUUACAAAAGAAGCACUUGGGAGUCCACUUACUUGAUUGGCCUUGUGAACCAGAUGGAACUUCCUUAUUCUUUCUUUUUUGAGUCAUUCUUUCCCUUACCAUUUUUAGCUUGCUUUAUUUGUCUCUUUUGAGAAACAAAGUUAACUGCAUUUUGUUUCUCUUGUAUUAAUCUAUCUUUCUGCACACACAUGGUCAACAAUUCAUUAAUUAACCAUUUAUCUUUAUGUGUGCUAUAAGAGAUCUGAAAUGGCCCGUAUUCAUAUGGCAAAGAGUUCAAAAUAAAGUGCACUAAGAAUGAAUCAGAGAUGGUUACUUCAAGUGCAGUGAGUUGCGCUGCAAUAUCUCGCACUUUCAUAAUAUGCUCGCGAAUCGAGCCAUUUCCGAAGUACUUCAUUGGAAGACAGUUUAUUCAUUAAGGUACUCGCCAAGGCUUUAUCGGAGCUGACAAACUGCUCCUUAAUAGCUUUUAGAUAAUUCUUGGCUUUAUCACAUUCUGGAAUUUAUCCCCUUAUGCUUUUUGAUACCCUUGACUUUAUGAGUAUCAAACUUAAGCGGUUGGAUCGCUCCCACUUUUUCUGCGCGGAUUCCUGCUGUGGAGUCAAUGGCCUCACUAUCUUAGACGGUUGCUCAACGCGUAGAGCCAAAUCUAAAUCCAUAUAGCCCAAAGUAAGCAUGAUCUGUCUUUUCAUUCUGAAUAAUUGGAACCAUUAAGUAUAGGAACAGAUUCACCAAUACGAAUAGAAGAUGGAGUCGUAGCUGAAAAAUAAAAUGUAUGUUUUAUCAAUAAAAUACCACAUCAAAAUUACCACACAAAAAUUAGAAAAAUACCCUUUAUAUAAUAUCACAACACCUCCUUUGGGUGUAGAGUUAUAAGUAUUUUUCAUUCCUUAUGCAUAUGCUUUAUAUGGCAUCACAACCCCUCCUUUGGUAGCAGAGUUAUAAGCAUAAAUAUGCAAUCUCUUUACCAGAGAUUAAUUUAAACUUUCUGUAGGUCGUGGCAAAUUCAAAUUUCUCAUAUGAAAAAAUUGUCAACUUUAGCCAGGCAAAUUUCUCCAAAUGAGUUAUAAGAAAAGUACCAUCCUGCACCACCCAUGUACCUUUAUAUCUAGGCCUCCUUUGGGAGCCAACUAAAUAUAAUAUUAGGGUGCAAUUUCUGCACACACUUCUUUAUAGUAAUUAAUUUAUCUUUUCUUCCGCUUGGGGCCGCUUUGGCUUGCACUCGAACAGUUGAAGCAAUAUAUUAAUCUGAAUUAGUGCUGCAUGAUUAACAUGAAAAUUAUCCGGAAGCGCUACUUUAAAGUAAAUUAAAUCAUUAUUUCUUUUAAUUACGGUCGCUUUGGCUUGCACCUAACCAAUCGAAAUAAUAAAUUAAUUUAACUUAGCGAUGAAUCUUAAAUAAUCUAAAACAAAUAUGAUUAUUUAAAUUUUCAUGUUAUGUCCAAUCAAAAUAAGAAUAUAGAUGCAAUAAUUUAAAAGCAUAAUAUUGCAACCAAAUUUAAACUUUAUACAUUCUAAUUUGACCACAAAUUAGAUAUGUGAGGAUUAGAAUAAUAAUAAUAAUCCUUAAAAAAAUCAAAUCCAACUCAUGUUAUAUCUAUCAUCUUCACCUUUCUAGGCUUUCAUCAAAUAUUCGCAUCAAUGGCCGCCAUGCCCAUGAUCAGACUAUCCUUAAUGCGUGUUGCCGAAUAAUCAUCUAGAUUUUCCUUCUUCUUCUUUUUUUUUUUGCGCUCUUGUCACGCCCCGGAUUAACACAUUUUCCUAGGCACGCCAACAGACCCGUCGUAUACAUAGAAAUUUUUCAUGUAUACGAAGCAAUAGUUGUACCUGCAAACAAAUAAGAGCUACAACUAAAGAACAGAGUUGCUAAAACUGAAAUACCUAUAUAUAAAACAUAAAAGGGUCCACUGUACAUACAAAAGCUAACAAAACCACCUCGCUCCAGUGAAUACCACAAGUAUAACAGUACGUACAUAGCAAAACCACAAAACUACCUCUGAUGGGUGCUCCUCUAGCAAAAGACCAGAGAUGGAAGGGAUCUAGCUCGCGACUCCCUUACUACGGUCGAAAUCAGCGACAGCAACAGCCACAGACGAAGGCUCUGUAAGUGUGUCUCUGCCCAGCUCAAUCAGAUUCACACAGGCUAUAAUCAAUGUAAAUGGGUCAAACUGGUAAAACAACCAAAACUCACGUGCCCUCGGCACAAUCUAAAACAAGAUGCAAACACCUGGGUCCACCGUCAACCUCGACGGUACUCGACAGUACGGAACAGUUCAAACGCUACUGUACAACGAGCUCGGCCUCUCAGCACGAGCGUAAUGUCAACCUACACUAAACUGAGUAUCCACUACGCACUAACAGCGGUGAUACCAAAGAAUAACAGCUCCUGAAGCUAAUUCGGUUAUUUUUCGAAAAGUGACAGUGUAGGUUUAACGAGUUUUCUCCUAAGUCAAUUCCAAGUUCAGCAUAUAAACUUGUCUAAAAUUACUAGAUCAUGCUCCAAAACUCAGAUUUCAUAAAAUGUACAAAUUCAUGAACUUGAGCUACUAACAUGAUAACCAAAACAAGAACUGCAGGCUGAGGAAAUCUAGGUGGUGAAUAGCGUACUCCUGCAGCCUCUGUAAGUGAACUCCUCUUGGCCUCGCUCGCGGAACGUCACUGUCCUAGCUCCACAGUCGAUUAUCGUAUAGUACCAUAGCUCCACAGUCGAUUAUCGUAUAGUACCGAGCUAGCCAAUCCUUGCCAAGCACUACAUCAAAGUCUUGCAACUGCCCCAAGACCAAUAGGUCUGCAGGCAUAAUCCAAAAGCCCAACUGCAGUAAACAAGACCAACAACAGUCCGCUAUAUGUAAAACAUGGUCGGGAAUAUGCAACUCUCGUGCAUAUAACAGCGUUCCUAUCUUUAGUCCAUGCAAUGAUGCAAAUGCUCGACUAAUAAAAGAAUGUGAUGCACCGGUAUCAAAUAAUGCACGAGCUCUAAUGCCAGAAAUCAAAGUGAUACUUGCCACUACACGAUCUGCUGCUGCGGAGUCCUCAACCUGAGCAGCAUAAACCCUGCCACUCGAUGCCUGCUGUCGUCGCUCACUCUGCCGCGACAUUGAAGCCCUGUCAACCUGGCUAAAGCUCGGUGGUGCUCCAAAGGUCUGCUGAGGUACCAGCGGGACCGACGCCGUCGAAGGUGCCGGUGAUACUACUCAGGGACAAGCCGCCCGUAGAUGCCCUGGUUGGCCACAUCCAAAACACCGGCCCUCUCUCUGCUCACAAUAUCGAGGCCAAUGCGGUCCCCCAUAGAUAACGCACUGCGGAGUCCCCUGCUGCUAUCGCUGCUAAUGAGAUCCCCCAGAUCACUGCCGCCCCGAAGACCCACGACCCUGAAAGAGUGAUCGUGGAGUCCCCCGCGGACGUCUGCCACUGGUCUGUCCUCCGUAAUCUGGAAUCAAGCGCUUCCUCUCCUGACUCUGUCCCAGCACUGUCACCCGCUCACGGACUGAUACAGCUCCUCGCUCAACCCACAAUGCCUGCUCAAUCGACACAUCCAAGGUCCGCAAUCUCUGCGCCUAUACCAAUAAAAAAAUCUCUAGCCUCAAACCUCUCUCAUACAAAUAUACCUUAUGAGCUUCAUCCCUUGCUACAAACGGCACACAGUUCAGAAGCCUCGUAAACUCCCGAGUAUAUUGUAAGUUACGAGGAGCCCUCGGAUCUAUCUAAAUACUAUCAAACACCUAGAGGGGGGUGAAUAGGUGUAACCGUCAAAAACCACAAACUCAAUGCGAUACAAAAUAAAUGCGAAAAAUAAAAAUCACACAGAGAUUUACAUGAAAAAACUCCAACUUGGAAUAAAAAAUUCACAGGACCAACACACGAAAAAAUAAUUCACUAAGAGAAAAUAUUACAAGGUGAUUACCGACUCUACGGACUCGACCUCUUUUAACCUUCUAUGAAUCUCGCGCAAUCCUCCGGGCCGUCCACACCUUCACGUUCGAAUCGAUGAAUGCCACGCACACGUCCGAAUCCACGAACGCCACUCGAAUCCACGAGCUCACGAUCCGAAUCCUCGAACCGCCUUCGAUCACGCCGAAUCCACGAUGCCGUUCAUGAAGAACAUGAUUAUGGUGAUCCUUCGCUUAGAGUGUCGAUGAAAACCAAAGAAGAAUCUCUAAGCGAAGCGUAGAUCAAUUCGGCAUAUAGAUAUCAAUUUUCAAUACCUCGAAUUGACCUAAAAGAGGCUAAUUUGUAGAAAUAGGUUUAGAACGAAAACCUAGCAUCUAGUGUUUUUCAAACAUGUAUUCUCGUGAUGUUCUAUAAAUUAGAGAACCACAAUAGCUUAUGUAUAGACCUUAGAUCAAUUAGAGUCGGAUUAGAAAAAUUUCGCAAUUUUACACUGCGUAACGGUACUGCAUCAAGUUGGUACCAGUACCAGAUGACGGAACAAAAAAUUCCUUAGGCUGCAGUAUAGGUACUAGGCCGAUGCUGUACCGGAACCAGCUGCAGUACCGGUACUCUAUGCAAUUUCGAGAAUUGCAUCACCUGACCACUUCUAAUCCUUUAAACCAAUUAAUUACAUGAUUCUAAUGUCAUAAAUAAGUUUGAAUCACCAUAACAUGAAUUAAAAUCUUACCUUAACAUCGUGAUUUAUGCCGUGAGAUGUUUCUGAAUUCCCGAAGUCAUUGAUUCUUCAAUCUUCUUCAAUCACGCACCGAACCCUUCAAGACUCCGACUCAAAUCACGAAACUUGCCAACACAAAAUACUUAACAUAUACUCUUGUACUGACUGAUCCCCCUACUCCAGCUUCUUCAGGUCCUCCUCGAGUUUCUACUUUACGCUGCUUGGGAAAUAGGCCCGGUACAACAUCCCUCGAAACUCGUCCCACCUCAUCUGCAGUGCAUCCAAACCUCAGUUCUGCCGCAUCCUCCUUCACCAGGCAUGCGCAUCACCUGCCAAACAGUGUACCGCCAGAUGUACCUACUCUCGCUCUGGUACAAAGAGAUCCUCAAACAGCUUCUCCAUCGGACUCACCCACGCCUUUACAACCUAGCGCUCGGUGGAACUACCAUCGAAAUGAGGCGGAUCAAAACGGCAAAAACGAGCGAGCCUUUCAGUCAUCCGCUCAUGCUCGGCCUCUGACAUCUGCAACGCCUCUCCAGGAGGUGCAACUUGUGCUAUAGAAGCUAUCGCUUGGGGGGGGGUACAGCUGUGGCUGGUGCGGCCACUGGAAUAGUUGAAGGUGGCACCUGCGGCUCCAACGCUCUAGGUACCGCACUCGGCAGCUGAGUGAACGCCUCACACAUCCUCUGCAGUAACGCACUCUACUGCCUGGUCACCUCAAUCAAGGGAGCCAACUGCUCUCUCAAAUCCGAGGGUGCACUCGGUCCCACCUGCUCCGGCAUCUCCGAUGGCGCGAAACGAUCUCGCGUCGACGGUCGACCUUCGCGUCGAUAUGGUCUCAUGGCGACCUAAAACCAAAACAAGGGUAAGAUACAAAACACAAACAACUCUCGACCCAAUCAAGCAAAAGUCUAGAAGUCGCCCCUGUUCCUCCUCAAAAUUAUGCCGUAUGCAGCCGACAUAAUUUCUGCCAGACACUCCUUCAAUCACUCCCGCCACUCUAGGAGUUAAAACAACUCAAUUGCCAACUUUUGCAAUAAGUCACACCUCUCGCAUCUUGUCUUCCUAAGAUCUGCCAAAUCUAUGAUUUUCUAAGUCCCAACGACCUAAUUUUAAGCUCUGAUACCAACUUAAUCUGUCACGCCCCGGAUUAAUCGUUUUUCCGAGCACACCAACAGACCCGCCCGCCGUAUACAUAAAAAUUUUUCGUAUAUACGAAGUGAUAGCUGCACCUGCAAACAAAUAGGAGCUACAACCAAAGCACAGAGCUGCUAAAACUGAAUAUGUUUAUAUAAAACAUAAAAGGGUCCACUGUACAUACAAAAGCUAACAAAACCACCUCGCUCCAGCGAGUACCACUAGCAUAACAGUAUGUACAUAGCAAAACCACAAAACUACCUCUGAUGGGUGCUCCUUUAGCAAAUGACCAGGGAUGGAAAGGAUCUAACUCGUGACUCCCUUACCAUGGUCGGAAUCAGCAACAGCAGCAGCCGCAGACGAAGGCUCUGCAAAAAGAUAGCAACAACUGGGUGUGAGAACUACUGCAAAAUAGAGUAGUCCUCAGUGGGUACCGUCACCGACCCCAAUGGCCCACCCAGUAAGUCUACAGUAAUAAUAUGCAAAGGAUGGUAAGGAAAACUGGAAAUGACUCUACAGUUACAUGCCACUAUACUAUCGCUAACAAACACAAGUAAUCUGUAGAUAUAGACAUGUAUCACACUAACCCAAUCUCACAAGGGCUGCCCAAACGAACCCUUCCUGCCUGUAUCCAAGCUACACCGUACACCACCAACGGGGGUGGCCGGUCCAAGUAAACUGUCCAAACAGGACUGCUGCGACAUAAACGCAAGUAAAGCCUCACUCAAGAGCGGCACUCGUUGGCGCGACCCAACCGAGUAUGCAAGCGUGUCUCUGCCGAGCUCAAUCAGGCUCACACAAGCUAUAGUCAAUGCAAAUGGGUCAAACUGGUCUAACAACUAAAACUCACGUGCUCUUGACACAAUCUAAAACAAGAUGCAAACACCUGGGUCCAUCGUCAACCCCGACGGCACCCGACAGUAAGGAACAAUCCAAACGCUACUGUACAACGAGCUCGGCCCCUCAGCACGAGUGUAAUGUCAACCUACACUAAACUGAGUAUCCAUUACAUACUAACAGCGGUGAUACCAAAAAAUAACAGCUCCUGAAGCUAAUUAGUUUACUUUUCGAAAAGUGACAGUGUAGGUUUAACGAGUUUUCUCCUAAGUCAAUUUCAAGUUCAGCAUAUAAACUUGUCUAAAAUUAUUAGAUCAUGCUCCAAAACUCAGAUUUUAUAAAACAUGCAAAUUCUUGAACUUGAGCUACUAACAUGAUAAUCAAAACAAGAACAACAUGCUGAUAACUCUACGACUUAGGAGGAAAUUCGAUGAUUUUGAUAAACAUUAACCCACUUCGAGCGCUCGUCCAACGUCGGCUAGAAGUCGAUAGAAGAAACCUCGUGCUAGCUCAACCUCCGACGGUCUCAACCGGACUCAACCACGGCGCGCGCACAAUCCUCUGAAGACAAGCGAACGAAACUAAGAUCGAGCCUCAAAAUUACUAGGAAGAAGGCAAGAGAGCUAGAGAGAGAAAGGGAGUCACCCUACCUGAGUUCUCCAAGCUCCAAGUACAAUUGAGAGAGUAACAGGAUCGGUUUGGAUUUAUCGCCAACAAAAAUGACCAAAAGGCCCCUUACCAACUUAAUUUGCCACCUGGAGUAUCGGUACUCAACUUGGUACCGGUACUCAGCCCUCUUUUCUCAAUCUCGCACGCUGGGUAUCGGUAUUCACUACAACAAAAACGAUUUAUAGCGACACUUUUAAAUGUAGGUACAUGUCAAAAAAGUGCUGCUAGCUAAAAUUACCGACACUUUUAAAAAGUGUUGCUAUAUGUGGGGUCGCUAGGUAUAUAGUGACAGUUAAAGAGUGUCGCUAUAACCUAAAAGAGUGCUGCUAAUUUACAAACACUUAUUUAAGCAUUUAGCAACGGUCGAAACUCUAUCUCGUUGGCUGCGGUGGCGGAGGAGGACAACAGGAAACGCUCUUCGUCUAGAAUUUCAGUGGAUUGAGUAAAGAGAAAAGAAAAGAUGGUAAUGAAUUUUUCUUUUUUUUUUCUUUUCUAUUUGUAAUCAGGCCAAAUAGAUUGGGUGUGGUGGGUUGAGUAGAGUAAACUUUUAUUUUUGAUUGGAUUGGGCUUUAUAUUUAGGCAUUAAUAGAUAUUUUUUAAAGUUUUAGCAUAAAUGGGACACUUACUCAAAAGUGUCCCAAACAUGUGUCCCUAUAACCUAAUUCUGUUGUAGUGAUUAGCCCGAUACAGUACCAGUACUUAGUCCCAGUACCGGUACUCAGCAUUAAACUGCGCAAACCCGAGAGCAUUCAGUUCUGAGAUUUUAGAAAAAGAGGAGGAGAAAUAACUUAAUUUAGAGUGAGAAAAAAAGUUGAAGUUUAGAGAGAAAGAUAAGUUUAGACAAAGAUAUGAGGUUAGAGUGUAAAAAAAAAAAAAAAACUAGCUGGCGGGUGAAAAAAAAAAAAGAUUAGACAUAUUAUAAUUACUCCAAUCCAUUAAUAUAAGGGUACGUUUGGUUCGAGUUAUCCUGAUAGGAUUACAGGCAAUCCUGCCAAAAUUACUGUGUUUGGUUCAUCCGCUAUGUAAUCUAAUCGUUAAUAUAACAUUACAAAUCGAGCAGGAUUACAUCGAAAAUAUUAACGAGAGGAGGGUCGUGUAUCUUGCAUUACUGAAAACCGGUAAUACUAUAUAUUAUGUAAAAUGAUAAUUUUACCCCUCUAACUCUCGAAACCCUUUCAAUACUUCAUUUUAAAAAUUUUAAUUUAAAAUUUUGAAUUGUCAACUUUUAAAUUUAAUUUAAAUUUAAAUUUUAAAAUUUUAAAUUUUAAAUUUUUAAACUUCAAAUUUAAAAUUUUGAUUUCUGAAUUUUAAAUUUAGAUUUUAAUUUUUAAUUUUAUAUAUUUAUAUUUAAAUUUUAGAUUUUAAAUUUAUAAAUUUCAAAUUUUAAAUUUAAAUUUCAAAUUUCAAAUUUAAAUUCAAAUUGUAAAUUUAAAUCUUUCAAAUUUUAAAUCUUAAAUAUCCAAUUUUAAAUUUUAAAUUUGCUAUUUUAAUUUUUGAAUUUUUAAAAUUUACAAUUUUUAAAUUUAAAUUUUAAUUUUAUAAUUUAAUUAAUUUGGAUUUUAAAUUUAUAAAUUUCAUAUUUAUAUUUUAAAUUAAAAUAUUAAAUUUAUAUUUUUGUUUAAAUUUAAAAUUUAAAAUUUAAAUUUUAAAUUUUAAAUUUUAAACAAUUAAAUUAUUUAAAAUAAAAUUUAGUAAAAAAAUAUUAUUUGUAAACAGUAAAAAAAAAGUUUACAAAAUAUGGUUAAGGGCAAUUUUGGAAUAGACUAUACUUUAUUGUCUAUAUUACUGAAUUUUAUAAACAGAACCAAACAUAUUAAUGAUAUCAUCACUGUAAUCUAGUAUUAUAUUACUGUAUUAAACCAAACGCGCUAAUGCAGCAUAAGUAGUAAUUUCUUUUAGAAAUCCAAGAUACCUGGAUAUAUCGAAAUGCUCUGUAAUAUUAUAUAACUUGAACCAAACGCGCCCUAAGGAUACCCACCCUCUCUCAAAGGAAUGAGAUUAGUACUUUGGGAUGCAUCUCAUUCCCAACUACAUCGAGUAUUAUCAGCUAGAUUACUUAAUACGUUUAGCCAAACAUCGUCAAAUUUUUUUAUUCCUAUUGGAUUACUAGGAAUCUUAAAAAGAUAGCGCCAACCAAAUGCACCCUUAAAGUGUAUAGAUCCACAGUGGGUACUAGCCCAACUAUAACUUAGUCCAACCUAGUCUCUACUACGGUGCAAGACAUUGGACCUAUUUUAGCCAAUAAAAGAACGAACCGAGUGAGUAGGAGGGCUCGGGGGAGGGUGGAGUCGAAAAGAGAGCAAAAGGAGGAAUUCUACACUAUCACACUUGCACCACGUCAUCAAUAACAAGCCAAUCAUAUUUCUUCUUUUCAAAUAAAGUACAAUAAAAAUAUUUUUUAUAAUCAUGAUAGGAUAUAUAUCUCUAAAAGGAGAUUUUUUAUUAGUUUGGUAUGCCACGUCAUCAAUAUACCCGUUGCAUUCUAGAAUUUUUCGAGCAAAAGAGAGAGAAAUAGAGAGAUAGGAGAGAGUUAUGUAGCUGGUGGGCAGGAGAAAAAUAAUAAAAGAAAUGCAAAGUGAGAGGAGAAAGAAUUAGUGA
rnacentral:lncRNA from 1 species